GGGGAAAAGCAACAACAACGACGACAACGACAGCAUCAAGCAGCACAGAAAUUCCUACUAUACGGACAACAACGAAUGCUCAGGGUCUCAAGGAUUCACCUCCGACUUCACACCCAACAAUAGAGAAGGAUGAUGACAACAACAUGCAGUGGUGGGACAACUUGUUUCUUGACGAAGAGGGAGGUGAAGGAACCCCGUUGGGAUUUGAUGCCUCGGGGGAGGACAACGUAACUAGUUUAUGGUUCGAAGAAUUGUCCCAGAUGGUAUUUAAGGAGGGUGAUAUUUGGACGCAGGAAAAUCAAAAUGGCUCGGGUUACAGCUCUACUGAUGCAGACUUGUGGGAUUUUCAAAUUUCUGAUCACCAAACCAUGCAAUAGAUUAUUGCAGUACUGAUCUUUUGCUGUCGAAUGUGUUUUAUACCAUUUAUUGGAUGCAUGAUUACGUAGCUACGAAUAAUGUUAGAUCUAAGGUUUGUAUUAGUAUAUGUACCGAUGCCAAUGAUUCAGUGUUGUGUACUACUUCCUGCUGGGAACUAGAUAUCUUUCUCAUUUAUUUUGACAAAUAAAUUAGUGGAAAAUUACCAAAAUGUGAAUGCUUAAUUCUCAUCAUUUGCACUGAAUCAUUGGUAAUUACUCGUGUCCGACUACUAAACUAGAAUACGGUGUUCCUGCUUUAUAGCAACGAUGUGAAUUUUUUGUAGGCUGAAUUUAUAAACGGAAAAGAACUAUUCGAUCCCGCUUCUUCAAGAGGAUAAAACAACGAAACAGAUACGAGGACACGGGUAAAUGUGUAGGAAUGUGAUAACUCUUUUAAUAGGUAAUUUAAUAGUGAAGGAAGUGUUUGUGAAAUUAAAUGUUUGGUGGAAGCUUAAAGUCACUUUCUUUUUUCAAUAAAUAAGAAUAUUUUAUUGUGAUUAGAUUAGAUUAGUAAGAAAUUUAAAUUCCUCCUAUUGAUACAUGCCAAAAAUUGAAUUUGAAUACAUGCCAAAAUUUGUUACAAGGAUAAAAAAUGACGAUAAUGACAAUUUUAUUAUUUAUUGUCAUGACUUUUUGCUUGCUAAAUUUUACAUUUUUUUUAACACUUUUAGUUAAUAAAUUAGGGAUGUCCAGCAAGGUAGUAUCAUCUGUCUUUAACCUAAAAGGGACUCUUAUUUUAUUAGCAUGAUGAGAGAGGCAAGAGAAAUUUUUGAAACUAUAAUAAGAAUGGUAGGUAUAUAUUGCAACGUGAUAUCAAGGCAAAUCUUAGAAAGGCACUAAAAAAGGUUGACCGCUUUCAGGAACCGUUAAUUAUAUAUUCAUUGGAAGGCGCAAAGAAAAUUGACCGCACUCCAUAUCUGCAACUUCAUCCACAGCCAAAAGUGACCUCCUAUUAUAAUUUAGAGUUAUUAUCGCUCUACCCCUUAAACUAUAUUAAUACUAUCAAUUUAUCCUUUAACAUUAUCUUUUAGUCACUUCAUUCCUAUAAGUAAUUCAACUCAACAUAUUAAAAAAUUUUGGACAAAAAUACCCUUUUAUUCUAUAGCAUUACUACACUGUUAUUAUUACUUUAUUUCUUUAAAUUAUAGUGAUAUAAUUUAUUUAAUACCUAACAUUAUUUUCUUGAUAUUUUACUUCAUCGUUAAUCUAACUACUAUGGUAAAAUAUGUUUUAAUAUAUUUACCCUUAUAUAUAUAUAAUUAAAAAUAAAAAAUUUAGAAUGAUUAUUCUUCUUCUUUUUUCACUUUAAGAGAUCCAAAAAUAUAAAAAUUAAAGAAUUUUCUCAAAUUUCUUUUGUCACACUUAUUAAUACUAUAAAAAGAAAGAGAGAUAGGAAAGAAGGAGACAGAAAAUUAAAUUUUUCAAAGAAAAAAAAAGUCUAACAUUGUCGUAUUAAUUUAAGGUUGUUGGAAUUAGAAUUGAAAUUUGGUGAUAAAUAGUAAAGUGAAAUAAUUUUAAAAUAAUAAUAGUAUUUAAUUCUUCUUAUUUGUAUUUUCUAAAAAAAGAAUUGAACUCUCUCUCUCUCUCUAUCUCUCUCUCCUCCUCUCCUUCCCCUUCUGAUCUUUUUAUUUUUUUAAUAUUAAUAAGAUUGCCAAGAAGAAAGAAAUUAAUACUUUGACUUUUUUUCUUAAUACUAAAGAGGAGAAGAGCCACUCUAAGUGUUUUAUUAUUUUUAUUAUACAAACAGAAGGGUACUUUCUUCUAAAGUUUUCUAACUUGCUAAAUUGGUUUAACGGUGGGAUAAAUUACCUAAAAAAUAACUCUAUAGGGUAAAUUGAUAACGAGAAUAUAGUUUAUGGGGGUAAAAUGAUAAUAAGUUUAAGGGCUAAACUUGUUUUUUUACUUUAAUUAACAAACUCUGUUAAGUUUGGCCGUUAGUUUUGAGAUAAAGUGACAAAAGAUAACGUUAAGGGGAAAUUAAUAGUGACACCGGACGUUAAGGUGAUACAGUGAUAAUAACCCUUGCGAGCCGUCGUUGCUUGCAUAUAAAUUCACCACCCAACCAACCAACCAACCAAAAUCAUAAAUUUGCAUGUAAAUUCAGCUACGGAGAGAAAUCGGCGAAACCGGACACGAAACUGAUCUUCCUCUCCUUUCUUCUUCCUAACCUCCUAAAUCUAACCAUUUGCCAACAACGGCAACAACUACUUGUGCUAUCUUUUCAUUGAUUUUGGGUGGUCGUAUCGUAUUUAGGACGAAGCGUUGUUAAUACCAAAACUUUCAGUCACGGCUUUUAUCGAACACCUCGGCUACAGUCUUCUUCGCCAUCUAAAGCAGCGUCGGAUUGAGAAUAAUAAGAAGUCAACGGUGGAGGGGGACAAGUGCAGGAUCCCGUCCCCUCACGGUGGAAGGGGUGCUUUACCUUCUGAAGGCGGUUGCCCCUCUGAUCUCCUCUUUCUAGCUGGCGGCGGCGGCGCUGGUUACCACCUUUUCUAAUUUUCCUCGUUAACCCAACCCAACAUUUUCCCCCCUCCCCGCUUAAUUGUCAAAUACUGCACUAAAACAAGAAAAUAUGCUGACCAUAAAGAAGGUUCCCACGGUGGUUUCCAACUACCAAGAAGAUGGCGAUGAUAACAACAAUGCGGCUGGCAUUAGGACCGAAGACGCCACCCAAAGCCAAGCCAGAGGCUGUGCUCGUAAUUGUCUUGGCAAAUGCUGCUUACCUGGUAUAUAUGCGUUUCUUUAUCAUUUCAUUUUCAUUUUUCUACUUACCUUUUUUUAAUAAUGUCAUUUUUCCCUGAUUACGGUUUGUGCAUGUUGUUUUCAAACGGAUGUAAUGGAUUUGGUUCAAUAUUCUGUAAAGCCUGUAUUACUUUCAUACUUUGAAAGUCAAGCCUUUCUUUUGUUUUAUUUUAUGUCUGUUCUUUUAUAUUUGGAAUCGCAUAUUCUUUCUUCUUCCCUUUCCUUCUACGACAUUUGAUUACUUGGCUAGGUGGAUUUGACAUUUAGCUCUCCAAAGCUUAAAAUGGUUAUAAUCGUGUUAUAUUUUCCUGUUUUUUACUUUUAAAGUUACCAACAAAUAUGUUAUCUUUACAAUUGCAUACCAUAUAUUCAAGGUAACUUUGACAUUUAGCCACACUUUACCUUUGGGAUUAAAGAAAAUAAGUGAAUUUGGGGCCAAAAGCUCUAUUUGAUGAUAUCAUACGUCGGUUUUCUUUGUUUUUCAGUUUCCAAGUUACCUUUGUAUGCAUUCAAGAAAAAUGACUAUCCUUCAAAGAACAAUGCUGUCUUUCCUUCUGAUGAUGGCGUAUCACCAAUCUCGUUCUUGAACAACUUGUUGCUGGCCCAAUGGGAAGAUCGAAUGAGGAGAGGGUUAUUCCGGUAUGAUGUGACCUCAUGUGAGACAAAGGUUAUUCCUGGAAGAUAUGGUUUUAUAGCCCAGCUGAAUGAGGGGCGCCACCUGAAGAAACGGCCAACAGAAUUUCGUAUUGACCAGGUUCUUCAGCCUUUUGAUGAGAACAAAUUUAACUUUACCAAGGUGGGCCAGGAAGAAGUACUAUUCAGAUUUGAAUCAAAUGACGAUGACAAGUCCCGUUUCUUUUCCAGCUAUGCAGUUGAUAUUUGUUCGAUUUCACCUAGUGUAGUUGCUAUUAAUGUAAGCACUGGCCUCUUGCAUAUGAUUUGCUGAAAUAUAAUGAGAUGUAUAUCAUUGACAUUAAACAAAUUUUCUUUCAGGUGAGUCCAAUUGAAUAUGGGCAUGUACUUCUCAUACCUCGGGUGCUUGAUUGCUUGCCUCAGAGGAUUGACCAUGAGAGCUUCUUGCUUGCUCUUUAUUUUGCGAAAGAAGCUGCAGAUCCUUUCUUAAGAGUUGGUUAUAACAGUUUGGGUGCCUUUGCCACCAUUAAUCAUCUUCACUUCCAGGUAAAUGGUUGAAACCAUUUUCAAUGAUAGUGAUGCUGUAGAUAGCUCCAAGGAGGCUUUUUUGGCUGAUUAAUUCCUAAUCUUUAACAGGCAUAUUAUCUGUCCGUGACUUUCCCAAUUGAGAAAGCACCAACUCGCAGAAUAAUGGCCAGGAAGGGAUUGCAGGGUGCUGAUUUGGUGGUCUCUGAGCUAUUGGAUUAUCCUGUUCGAGGUCUUGUAUUUGAGGGUGGAUGUGUACUGCGUGACUUAUCUGAUGCUGUUGCAAGUUCAUGCAUUUACCUCCAACAGAAUAACGUUCCUUUUAAUGUUCUAAUUGCUGAUUGUGGGAGGAAAAUCUUUUUGCUCCCUCAGGUAAAUUUGUCUACUCUCUAAUGAUUCGGUUGGCCAUUUGACAUAAAUUGGCUUAAUGUAUUUGGCAGUUGUCAUGGUUUUUAUUUUUAUGAUUUAUAUUCUGUCUAUAUCACAGUACAAGGGUGUCUUUUAAUAAAUGCAGACUGAGUAAGUGAAAAAAUUAGUAUGCCUGUCCAUUGCACUUAGGCCAAUGUAAAGCCUUACUUAAACAUUAACUUUGGGUAUGUUUAAGAGAAUUGAUUUGGUACCUUACGUUGUAAUACAUGUGUACAUUUGUUUUGAAAGAACUUUAGGCACAACCAAAAUUUGUUGCCUUUCCAAUUUUACCUCAAAUGAAAAGUCUCUAUGCCUAGAAGGAGACCCCUCUUGGAACAGUCUUAGGUAAUAAUUGACUCUGGUUUUUUGAUGGGUUUGAAAUUUUGUUAAAACUCAUUUUGGAAGAAUCUUCUCUGCACUUAUGAAUAGUUCUUGGAUAUUGUGACACAAAAUAGUGAUUGUGGCUAGUCUUUGUUCUAAUUUGAGUAGUAAAUACAUGGGAGUUCUGCGGGAGGUGAAUCUUCAAUAAGUUCUUUGCCUAGAGUUGUUAUUAUUGUUUGAAAUACUAGUCUCUGCUUGGAGCCUAACUUGAGCUUUGUCUUUCCCUGGAUGAAUAUGUACAGUGUUAUGCAGAGAAACAAGCACUUGGAGAAGUAAGCCUCGAGGUCCUGGAAACUCAAGUCAAUCCUGCUGUUUGGGAAAUAAGUGGACAUAUGGUACUCAAGAGGAGAAAGGAUUACGAUGAUGCCUCAGAGGACUAUGCAUGGAAACUUCUUUCUGAAGUGUCCCUGUCAGGGGUGAGGUUUGAAAGUGUGAAGGCAUGUGUUUCCGAAGCAGCUGGCUUGCAGGUGGAAGUGGAUACAUACAACAUCGACCAGAAAGAAUGUAUCUAUGACUCUGAAGCACCUCAAGUUGCCUCACAUAUGCAACGAGAUUGCCCGGCAAUCCAUUGAAGGAUUAGGCUAUUCUUCUGAGAAUUUAGGUUUUUUUUAAUGUUUAUCUCCAUUCUUUAGCGUUUAUGGGUUGUAGUAUGAGAUUCAGCAGGUCAUUGUGAAGAACAGUUACAUAUAGUCAUAGACAAAAAUCUUGUUCCUCUAGAGGAUGGAUGUUAUUAUAUGAUCUGCAUAUCCCUUGUUUUGAUAUCUCUACUCUAUAGCUUGCUGAUUGACGCUCAUUCAGGCUUAGAGAUUGCCCGAGUUGAUACCAUGGCUUCCAUUAGCUGUUUAGCAGGUUAAUGAGAUGUAUAUAUAUAUUUGUGAAUUGUACAGUGCUUCGAGUUUAAGCAGGCUAUACUGUACAGGUAUAUUGUCUGAUUUCAGCCUUCUAGAUUUAGCAGAUGAACUCUAGGAAGCAAACAUGAAUUGAACGAACACUACAAAGUGGCAUGUAUCCAGAGAGCUCCAUCAAACGUCUCGAGUAGUCAGUCCACAUCAAACUUCUGUCGGUCAGAGUAAGCCACAUUGGGAAGUGGGUGAUGAGAAACAUUUAGAAUGCAGGACAGCAGGACCCUGAAGGUUUUACGAGGCUUGCAAAUGGUGGAUGCCAACAGUGGAGUGGAGAUGGUUAAAUUUGGUUGGGCUUAAAAUGUAGCCACUAGAGCUCAAAACCAAAAGCGGAUCGCAGAACUAAGAGGAGGAAGGUGUCAACUAGUAGUGCUUUUGCUAAGAGACGAAAGACAACAACUUGACACUUUUGACCGGGAAGAAAUGGUCCAGGCCACUUGGUAAGAGUGAUGUGAGGACGAGACUCGAAAGCGCAAUUGAAUCAGCCAACCCAGAUUCCUGCAUAUUUCUAUAGGUUAACCGACAUCGUCACCCGCAAUUUUGGCACACUUUAGCUAAGACCAUGAUGAGGAGUAGGGUCGUUACUCCUUCGGCCUUCUUUUGUGUAUAUCAUUAUCCUCUUGCGUUGCUGUACAAGUGUGGAGAUUUGUUAAUAGGGUAAAAUUAGACCUAAACUGUGAGAAAAACACACAUUCUCAACCAUGCACAGAUUUUUACCUAUCGUUUCGACAAAAAAAAAAAACCAUUCACAGAUUUUUACAGCGCAAACACUUGAUUAGCAGCUUUUUCAGAAAGCUCAGGUUCACUCACUCGAUUAUUGAUUUGUUACUUGUUAGUAUGCGGAUAACUUUGCAAACUUUUCAUUUGUCUAAUCCUAGUUCCACCAAACUGAAAUGGUUUGGUAAAAUUUGGCUGAUAAUGGAUUUCCAUUUAGGUUGUGCGUGCGUUGCCGCAUGAUGAGGUUUGCAGUUUGCACAAUAAAGUCGCGAACGAGAAACUGUUCACGCGACUUCAUUUGCACUCUCUUUGAACUUGGAUGCGCAUUGAGUAGCGUUUCCGGCAGGGCAUACUUUCCGUUCUUUACUGCCUCUCGUGGGUCUAUUGUUCUAGAAGACUAGGACUCCGCCCUCCUGAAGGAUGACAGCAGCCACAGGCUCUCAAAAAUCCAAUUCCAAGAUCGAGAAAUGGCACGAUUACCAUUCAGAUUUCUUGAAGGCUAAUCUCAGCGAUGACCAAGAGGGAUCAGAAUGCUACCGCAAGAAGUGGAAGGCUGUCUCGGAGUUAUUUGGUCACGCUAUUGGAACUUGGAAGCUUUCAGUCUUCCUUUGUUGUCAUCGUUCAAGUUUGAAAAUUCGUGAUGGGGAAAUUAAUCUUUAUUUUAUCAAUAUCUCAAAACCACCAAAACAGAAAUGAUUAGCAUGUACUUGAAUGUAAGAGCAUUGUCAGACUCAUUUUCCAAAAAAAAAAAAAAGAGCAUUGGUAAAUUUGAUUAUAUGUUACAAUAGUUAUCAUGCUCAACGCUGACAUGAUAAUCUUGGGUACAAUUAUAUGAUAUAGAUAGAGCACAUAAUAAUAUCAUUUGAAAUAAUUCUUGAUGGUUAGAAAGAUAAAAAACUGUGAUUGAAAAAUUGCGUUGGUAAUUAAAAAGUAAUAUUUGAAAAAAAAUGUUAGGCACUUUUGUUUUACUGGUAGGAGAAAUUUAAUACCACAUGCGAUAUGCAUCACCAUCUUGUUUUCCCACCAGGAGCAUAUUAGUCAAUAUCCAAUUCUCACGCAACAUAAACACAUCUCGCAUCGGGAUUUAUAGACCCACACACGCAAAGAUAAGCCCGGAAAAGAAAAAAAAGAAGAUCAACAUGCGGAUUCUCAUCAAGUAUAAAGGAAGGCUAGCUAAGAGCAUUCCUCACCACGAAACGCAAUAUCAGGUUCAAGCGUGAUCAACUUAAAAAAGGCAACAUCAUCAUGUGAUGGGAAGAUGAAUGCCCAGAAAACUUUUCAAUUGAUCCAGCACUCACUCCUUAGUUGCAAAUAGCACAAUAUGCAUUUCAAUUCUGGUUGCAAAGGGUCCAGAUAUGAAUCAGUUCACUUGUAAGUUUGUAUGUAACCGGCUGCAUAUUGCAAUCAUGAGGACUUUGUAGGCUGAGUAACGAAAUGUCGAAGGACUUUGAUCCUUCCGCAAGUGAAAAAAUCUAAUUACAGGCGAGUUUGAAUUAUAAGAAUUGAUCUCUUAACCUAAUAUCGAAUAAUUCUAAAUGCAACUAAAAAUCAAUUAAGAUCAUAAACGAAGCACAAUUAGCAGCUUAACAAAAUUAUAUAAUAUUAUUACUGCAGGCAGGAUUUGUUUUAUGCGAGAGCAACGAGUACACGUAGCUUGAAAUCCAAAACAAGUAUUGGAGUAAUUCACAAGUUGAAUUUUGAAUUUUAAAAUAUUUUUCUAUCCUCAAAUCACAAGUUGAAGAUUUAUCGAUGUUGAAGUUGAAAGCUGCAAGUGAAAAGGAAGAAAAACGCGUGUAUGGAUUAAUGCACUCGCACACAACACAACCUCCUCCUCCUCCUCCUCCGUGUGGAGCAUGGCAUCGAUUGGUACUGCUCUACAUGAAGUCUUCGUGAAGUGAACCACACACACACUUUUCUUGUGCUCUACACUUUUGGCCUCCACACCACUGGACAAUAAUUAAAUCAACAACAGCACAACUUAUCGCAAGCCAACCAAAUAUUUGCAGUAAUUGUCAAAGAUGAUAAUAAUUCCACCGCCAUUAUUGCUGCUUCCACGUUCAAAUACUAACUAAAAACCAUUACUCUACCUAUAUUGCUUCAGUGGUCAAACAGCAAUCAACAGCACCGGCUUUCUCAAUUUUCCCUCCCAAAAUAACAACAAAAAAGAAAAAAAAAACGAAAACGAAAGCAAUAUUAAAAGGAGAAUCUACGGGAGAGAAGAUCAAAGGAUAAAAAUGAUUAGGGCGAAGUGAUUUAAGAUCCUAAAUCUGCAGUUAAUCAUGAAGAUGCUAGUAUUAGUUAAUCAAGUACUCCCUCCCAUCAUCUUCUUAAACUCGUCAAAGUUAACGCAGCCGUCGCCGUCCACAUCAACGGAUCUGAUCAUCUUACGGCAAUCACUGAGCGAGCACUUCUCACCGAUACUUUUGAGGACCGAAUGCAACUCGUUCGCCGAGAUCUUCCCGUUCUUGUCCUUAUCGUACAAGUCGAAGGCGUCGCGAAGUUCCUUGUUGUUAGCGGUCUGGUUCACGCCAGCGAAGUACACCUCGAACUCCUUCAAGUCGAUGAAACCGUCGCCGUCGGUAUCGAUCUCCUCCAUUAUUCGUUUAACUUCGUCAGGCGACGUUUUCGAACCUAGCAUGUUCAAAAUGUUGCCUAAAUCGGACGCCGAGAUUUUGCCAUCGCCAUUAGUGUCGAACUUGUUGAACAUCUCCUUAACUUCGUUCAUCUGUUCUCUCCCCAUGCUUUUUUCGUUUUCCUUGGUGGAACCGCUCAACUUUUCCGGUUCCGCCAUUAACGACUUCUUCUCUCUCAAAUAAAACAGCAGUAGCAGCUAUAAAGCGCAAAUAACAGCAGUAGUAGUAGUAGUAACAAGUAAGCCGACACUUUUUCCCUCCCAGGAACAGGUUCCCCGGGGAGCAUUUAUAGGGAGGGAAAAGGGGUUAACGCGCUAAAAGGACAAAGACGCGUGAUUAGCUGCGCUGCGCUGCGCCAUUUUGUUGUGGUUGCCUGUCGUACGACUUUCCUUUGCCACUACUGUCCCUUAAGAUGAAAAUAGAAUUCUAAUUUUCGAGCAGAAUAAAUUUUUUAUUGACAAAUCAACCAGCAAAAUACGUAAAUUUACUAGUUUAGGAAAGAUAUUUCGAAGGAAAAGGAAAACUUUGUCCUGCCUAUUUUUAAUUGAUGCCCAUAAAGUUUUUGGGCUUCGAUUUUGUGGUUUUCUAAAAACCCUAUUUUCUCCACCAAGUUGCGUUGAUCAAAAGGGCAGUAAAUUAGUAACUAGUAAUGCAAUGGGGAAGAAAUGGAUUGACUGGUACGGGAGUCAGGAAAGAUAAAUAAGAUGUUCUGAAUUUAACAUGUUCCACUUAUGCUAAAAUAAAAAAAAAUAGUAACGCAAUAAGUUCAAAGAUAUAUAGAAGCAACAAGUUCCUUUGAUUAUGGAAGAAAUUAACAUGCUAAGUAAGUAUAUGUGCUCAAAGAUUGGCUUAAUUAUUAUAUGAAACUGAGCUCCUGUAGACAUUUUUUUUAAGGCUCUCCUGCAUGAUUUGAUUUCUAUCCCCAAUAUUUUUGCAAUGACAAAAAAAGGUAAGAAAGUUGCAAGCUUGAUUCAAUUAGUUUAAAAACUAAAUUAAGUUAAUGGGGUUGUUUCUUUUUUUAAUUUAUAGUAACUUUAACAUCUGCACACAAUUACAUUUAUUAUAUUCUUACAUUUACAGUCACGCUGGUUGUUUAUUCAACCUUUACUAUAGGAGAAACAAAUGAAGAAAGGAAACGUGGAAGUAAAUCACGGAGUUCUUAUAGCAUGUUUUUGGCUAUUCUAAGGGGCAGAAGUGUAAGCAAGGCGGAAAGGCGGUGAUGUUGUGGCCGUUGAUGAUUGCGAUUGAUACCUGUCGUGGCGUGAAUACGGUUAAUGACCUUUGGGCUUUAGAAAGCAGCAUACAUAAAAGAAAUAUAUGAGCGAGUCAGGAACAUGCCUUCUUGCAGAAUGGACUUCACAUGGAUGCAAAUUAUUACCAUUAGCAUUUAAUUAGCUAGAGGACAUACUCCCAGCUUCGCAUGAUGACCAGUUUCAUUUGUCAGAUAUAGACAGAAAGGUUCGAGAAUAUUUAAUUCCUGUUUGGAUCUUCAUUAUUCCAUGAUCCUAUACCAUUAAUUAUUUUAAAUUCAAUGAUCAAUAGCUUCGAUUAUGUGCCAACUACAAUAUUUUUGACCAGUCCAAUAUUAUUAUCUGUAAUUCCUACCCAAUUCCUACACGGAGCUGCGCUACUUUUGCAAUAAUUUAAUGAGCUUAUCUGAUAAGAUCAUUUAGAUUAUAUACAGUUUUUUAAAGUUCUAUACAGAACGAUUAAUGGGAUUGGAUCAGUUCGAUCCAAAAAAAAACCCGAUGAAUCUAACCUUUUAUUGAACCGGGUUAGGUUUGAAUCUAAAUAUUAGUUCCGAAUUAAAUGUAAGUCGAAUUUGAGCCUUAUUAGAUUUAAAUCCAAUAUAGGUCCAGCCCUUUAAUUUGCAUGUAUAUAUAUAAUUAUAUCUAAUAGAUUCAUAUUUUGGUAUAUAUGAUUAUAUAUCUAAAUAUAUAAUACUAAUACUUUAUACUUAUGAGUUAUGUAUCAAAAUAUAUUAAUAUAUAUGAGAAAUAUUAAAUAUAAAAAAAUUAUUGCAAAAGAUUUAAAAGGACAAAUCUUACUAUGAGCAAAUUGAGGAUAUUUGAUCGUGUUUUUUGAUUACUAUUUUUCAUAUGCUUUCAACUAAUUGGAUAUAUCAUUAUUGAAAAAUUCUUAACUUACGUAAAGUUACUGAUUCUAAAUUAGCUUUAGAACUUAAUAGUCAUAAUAAUUAUAUUAAAAAAUUAAAAAAUAAUAAAUAAAUUUGAAUUAAACCCGAUUUAGAUCCACAGUAUUUUAUAAGUUACAUUUAUCAAUCUAAAACUCAUAACCUGGAACCUAAAAGCGGUGAUAACUACCGUAUGAAUUUGAAGAUGACCCGAUUCUUCCUUGACUCGAAUUUAGGCUUCCGCGAGACAGCUACUCUAUCUUUUCUGUCGUUUGGCAAGACUGAUACCACUCUUUUUAACUUAUUUGUCGAUUUGCCAAAAAGAAGGGUAUUUCAAGAGAAUAAUGAUGCGGUCACUUCAGCGGGAACCACUCCUGUAACCCAAGUCAUUCGCGAGGAAGAAUGUAGUGGCGACUUUGGCUGUUCUUUCGACCGUUUUGUGAAUAAUUAAAUUACAUACGUAAAUCUUCUUCCCUUUUCAGUAUCUGAAGACGUUAAAUCCUCAUCCAUUUCCCGCUCCACUAACGUUUGCUCGACAGGAUAAUAUGUGCGGUGAAGUUCUCCAACAUCAUCGCCUCGCCAGAAAGCUUCUUCCAUUCAUUAGGUCCUACACGAUAAACCAACGAGAGCAGAAACCCUGUUCUCAAACCAGACCAACUAACAAGCAGAAAAAUGGAGCGAAGAUACAAACAUACCACCGACACCAUCACCACCGGCGCCAUCUCUGAAUGUGGCAUGGUAAACGGCGGGUCUGGCCAGCCCAGCUGCUGCUUCAAGAGACAUAUCAAACCGGUACCUGAAAUGUGAUCACAGAGAAGCAUGCAUGAGAAUGCAAAGAGGGUACAACAAAUUAACAGCAGAGAUUGAAGCAUUCAUCCAAACAGGCACAAAAUUCCUUGGAACAAAACACAAUAAGACAGUACUGCUCUUUUCACAUUGCAAUCACUAAUGAAUGGUCAGCUAAUCCAACAAUGCUAGAGGAAUUAGGAUGAUUGGAGCAGAACAGACCCACCAUCCAAAACACCGUAAGCACAUGGUGAUCCCGAUCCAACUGAAAAUAUAGUUCCUAUUAGCCAUCCACCUUCACUGUCCACACAGUAUAGGCCUGGACCUUGCAAGGAACGACCAAUUACUUACAAUAAGACGUAGAAUUCAGGAUAAAACUAUGCAAAGAGUCCUUAUGACAGUGCCUUUGUGUACCGUCCAGCGAUCAUUGUUCCAACAGACGAUCCCUUGCCAUGGCAGGAAUACAACUGGCUAGCAACUUCAAUGCCCCGGCGACAGAUAUCGUUCUCCUAUUUGCAGGCUCAUGCAGACAGGCACUGAAAUUUGCAAGUCUAGUCAAUGAUCUUCCAACGGCUAGAUUGUCCAUGACAAUACAAGAACGAAAGUCAAACUAGUACAAACCGGGGAGCACCUUAAUUCCCAGGUUCCUGUGCCAGAACUGGCAGUCAGCAUCACCUCCAGCCAUAGUGUCAACCAUGUAUGGAUUGAUUUCAAUGAUUUUCCCGACAGAUUGUGAUGGUCUAAACCAGUAUGUCACUGAGAUGUAUUUCGUGAUUCAGUAACCAUAAGAGACAGGAUAAUUAAAAUACAACAUUAAGAAUCAUGUCAUCGAACGUCUUUGAUUUCGGUAAAGUAAUCUGAUUCUUAUCUCAGCCUCUCUUUUGUGGUAUAGGCAAGUGGAUAUGCCAAUUAACAAGUUGUAGAAAUAAAAUGAGCAACUACACAGCUACGGUAUGAGUUGACUUAAGAAAAACAACGCGAAGACCAAUGCAAGCUGUUCGACAGAAAUUGAUGCUACGUAACUAUCGUCUGAUUUUAUCAGGGUAAACAAGGCAGAAACAGCACGAGUCACGUUAGGCAGAAAUUGACGGCAAGAGCUACUUCAAAUAGAUAUAUGGUAAACAUGCAUGUGACCGGAUGAUAAGAGACCUUCAAGUUGGAGUUUAUAACCAUGCUAAUAUGGUCUCAGGACACAAGUUUGGCCCCAAAACAUACAUACUUCAUAUUUCCCCGUUUCUUCCUUCGCACCCCAUCCCCAACCAUUUCUGGGGUGGGAUCUCUUUUUCCUUUAGUUAAGCCGCCAACAACAGCCGAAGGAGCCAAAUUUCUAGAACAUUGAAUGUUUACAGAACACUAAGGGUAUGUAGUAAUUCUAUAAGUAACUACUACAAACAUUGGGUCAGCCGAGAUACUACAUGGAGAAACACAGUAAGCAUAAAACUCAAGACUACUAACGUAUGAAAGUUCACAAAAUUCUGGUUUUAAAACAAAAAUCAACUGGAUGUCAUCUCAAACAAGUAGCAAUAUUAAGUCGCAUCUGCAUUGAAGACGUACAGUUGCACAUUGGCAUCAGGUAGACUAAUCAAUAACUUGUAACGUUAAUUCAACGCAACAAAUUCAUUUACUGCAUCUGCAUUGAUGCCGCUGGCCAACCACCCCUAACCAACACCGGCGGGGGGAGAAAAAUUAGAAAAAAAAAAUGAUCAAUGACUGGUGCGUGGCAACUACUGGCUUGGCUCAAUGGCCAUUAGGGAGGGACUCAAGUCCCUUCUUGGAAUGUGGGUGGCGGUUCAAAUUCCACCUGCAGCAAAAAAAAAUUCAAGGGUGAUGCUAUAACAUCCUCUUGAUCUAAUCAGAUCUACAUAUCUACUAGUUCCUAACACACAUGCCUCCUUAAACUCCUCCUCCUCUGUAAAUUAGGAUAAAAUAGGUUAUACAAUUAUAAUUGUUAUCAUUGCCCGAAAAAAAAAAAAAAAAGACUGGUGCGUGGCUAUUUGGAAGCAUUAUUCAACAAUUGCUUAAUUCCCAUUCAUACAGUACAGACAUAACGGAACAGAGAAAAAAACAUAAACCUUUCUCUAAUAUUUGAAAAGGUAACAUUUAAUGUGCACAAAUCAAUCAUAAUUACGAUCAUAACUCAGCAUGGAAAUACUAGUACAAGCAUACAUAGACAGAUAUCUACCCAUGCUAGCACCUGAACAUGAAAGCCAGAGUGGUAGUUCCCUUUGCAGGCUUUACCAGUUGUAUUGUUUCCUUUUGAAACCCAUUAAAUUCCAAUGCAUUUAACAAGAAAAUCUCUAACUUUCAAUGAAAAUAAAGAGGUAGUAAUUCGUCAAACAUGAAGUAGAAUAAAAGUUCAAACUCACAUCGUCAGAGCUAGGAAUUUAGGAAUUCUGGAGCGGUAGAAAGCCCAGGGAGAAAUCCACCAGUAUUACCCCGCAACGUAGCAAUCUUCAUUGUCUUAUUGUUACCUUUGACAGGAUAAAUCGAUCAACAUAAUCUUAAGGCCAAUUUUUUCUUCUUUUUUUUUUUUAAGUGCCUUAGCUUGUAUAUAUAUAUAUUAAAUAUCCAACUGCUUUGGUUAUACGUGAAGGAGCUGGAGAAGAUUGGUUCCACGCUAUGGACCUGCGGGACGACGAUUGGAAGAUGACCGGUACCGGAGAAGAAACGGGAGCUGGAGGUUGGGCUUAUCAGAAGUUUAGAACCAGGCUUGUAUUAGAGGCGUGAUAGAAUAGACAGUAAAGAGGUGACCUUCAGGCUUCGGCCUAUCACCAAUGGUGGACCAAACCUGAAGAAUUGGACUUGGGCUAACUCUAAGUCUCCUUUGUAAAGAUCUCAAUCUGGGAUCCUACUUUCAGUGUGACCCGCUAGAAGAAAUGUCGGUGAUGGUUGUUUUUUUUUUUUUUAGGAUACAUUCGUAGUACAGUUUAUGAUUAAUUCUGUUUGAAUUGAGUCGAACCCUUACAGGGAGGUUUUCUCAACAUUGUCCUUUGAUGCUGGUUACAUAUCAAGCUAAUUUGGUCUGAAAUAGGGGUGAGGGCUUAAAUAGGAAUCUCACGUUGUAAUUAAUUAAAUUGGAUAUAGGGACAACAUCAUGUUAUAAUUUGAAAAUAUGUGAUAUUUUAGCUAUUAAUCAAAUUUUAACUACGCCAUAAACUUUUUUAUAUUAACAAAAGAAACAAUUUGCUAUUGUGAGCUUAUUCUCAUUUACUAUAGAUUUUGCAAAAAAAUGCUUAUAAGAAGCUAUUAGAGUAAGGUGAUCAGCUAAAGUUACUUUACGGUAGUUUUAGACAUUAACAAUUUUUUACUACUAAAAAAAUCUAAAAUUUAGACAUAAAACCCAAAAUAAGGACUUUCAAAUAAAGAAAUAGUUUGUUUAAAAAAAAUGUUUCAUGCUUCACACGAUCUACGGCUUAGAGUACAUUAAGUUUGCCUUUGACGUAUUUGACUUUAUACAAUUUUUUUUUUUAUCUAUUAUCACCGUCUACCCCCGCUUUCGCUCCUAUUCCUAAUUUUAUUUUAACCUAUAUAGUUCAUUGUCUUACGUUGGUUAUUGGGCCCGAGGGAGGAGGAGGGGAUGGGUGGUGGGGACCGCCGGGCAGAUGGAGGCAUUACAGGGCGCAGAAGGACUUAGAGCUGACUGGUUGUCCAUUGGAAAAGGCCCCACCAUAGCAGCCACUUGGCAAUCGGACAGACAACCAAAACCUGUUGCCACUUUCUAUGUUAACGGUUAAAUUGAAUAACAGCUAGUAGACCGUCGUAUUAGUCCUAACUCCUUCCAACUUAUCAUCGUUUCGAACAAAAAAAAAAAAAGUAUUGGUACUAACUCCUAACUCCUAAGCGAUCUUCGCUUUCUCCGAUCUUCCCUCCCUCAUUAUUCACUCCUCUGUCACUCUUCUUAUGUUCAGAAAACUAGCUCCAAAUUGCACCUACUCAAUCCGACAGCUCCAAGAUUCAAAACAAUCAUCCUAUUAGCUAGUAUUUAAUUUACAACAAUUUCACAUCGAUUAAUCCAAAGCCUAAACCACCAUAUUCCCUCAGGGGCCAUCAAUUUUAACGCUUACAGUAAUUUAAUUUGUUGCAGCUCAGCUCAAGUUCUUGAGAUCAACUCAAAAUUUUGCCUUGCGCCCUCUUUUCUUUUCUCCGUUAUUUGAAUAUAUGGCUCUUCAUUCUGCUGCUUUAUGCUUCAACAACAUUUCUUGCAAUCCUCAAACUUCUGGGGCCUUUCGGCAGCUCUCUGCUCCCUCAUUUUUCCGCCCAUUUACUGUUAAGGCUUCAGGUUUUUCUUCACCAUCACCGGUUGCCCUUCCGCGAUUUAAGCUUCAAGGUAUUGCUUUGCUUUCCCCACUGGAAUCGAUUACUUAAUUUGCUAUGCAGGAUCAACUCAAUUAAGUGUUUUUUUUUUCCUCCUCGAUUUUGCUCUCCAUAUUUUGCAGAACACCUUCACUAGACUUGUGCUUUGAUACUAUCGAGAUGGAAAGCAAUCAAUAGGGCAAAACUAAGAAAAAGUCACAUGAAUUAUGUGAAUCGCAGUUCUAGUGUGGUGCCCUGCGUGCUGCUACACCUGAUUAAAUAGGGAGAGAUUGAUUAAUCAAUAAUAAUACCUUACGUAGCUGUUGAUAACUUGGAUUCAGCAUUUAGCCGGUGGUUUAGGUUGGUAGUAGAAACAAGUUGUGUGAUGAUUAAACCUCUUCUCAUUGCCUUUACAAUGUCCAAUUUUUAAACUAAUUGGGACAAUAUAUAGUCAUUUACUAGGAACUAGAAUCAUCUAGUCUUUUAAUUAAUCAGAUCAACCGUUCGAAUGCCCUUCUUGGAUUGAGUAGUUAUUUUUAACUAACUUUGGUUAAUGCUAUUGAAUAUAGAAUUAGUAGUUCUUAUUUUUUGAAUCCCCUAAGUUGCAACUCCAUUAGGUAAAGCAUUGCCAAUUGAUAAUGGGGCACCCGAAAAGGAUGAGUCGUCCCUUGUGGUUUGCUUUGGGGAAUUGUUAAUUGAUUUUGUCCCGACUGCAAGUGGUCUCUCAUUAGCUGAAGCACCUGCAUUCAAAAAGGCUCCUGGUGGUGCACCUGCUAAUGUUGCUGUUGGCAUUGCUCGCCUUGGUGGUUCAUCAGCUUUCAUUGGGAAGGUGUGACAUCUCUGUACUCUGUUAGCCGUUGUUGAUUAUCAUAUACCUUCAAAAUUAUGAACUUAUAAUGUUACUACUGACGUAUUGAAGGAAUCUUCCAAAAAAUUUACAUGUUCUCAUGAAAAAUUCUGUUUUUCUGGUCAAUGUUUUAAUGACCCAUCCACAGGUUGGGGAAGAUGAAUUUGGAUACAUGCUUGCUGAUAUUUUGAAGGAGAACAAUGUCAAUAAUGAAGGGAUGCGCUUUGAUCCUGGUGCUCGAACUGCUUUGGCAUUUGUAACCCUAAGAAAGGAUGGGGAGCGUGAAUUCAUGUUUUACCGCAAUCCUAGUGCUGAUAUGCUGCUUCAAGAGACUGAGCUCGAUCUUGACUUAAUUAGGAAGGUAUACAUUACUAUCUAUGUAGAGAUGUUGAAGCAAACUAAUUAUGGCCAAAAAGAUGAUCUCCACAAUACAUGAUACUGGUGUAUGUAGUAUCUAACUUAUGAUUAUGACCUAAGGCUUGGUGGUUUGUUGACUUUUAAAAGUAAGUAGCACCAAAAGUUUAGCUAGUCCAUCAUCUCUAUUUUCACGCUUUUGCAUCUGUUACUGUAUAGUUUGUGCCAUGUCAUGAUUGUAGAGAUCCUUUCUUAUUUAGGUCUUUUGCAGACUUGCAGCCCUUUUUGUUGUAGCAUUUGCAGUUUCUGGAAAAUAGUUACCUCCUACAGCUUUGAUUUACCGAUAUUUAUUUUGAUAGGUAACUUAAAUCAUGACAUUGCUUGUUAUCUAUGACAGGCAAAAAUAUUUCAUUAUGGUUCUAUAAGCUUGAUUACAGAACCAUGCAGAUCAGCGCACCUUGCAGCUGCAAAAGCUGCAAAGGAUGCUGGGGCAAUUUUGUCUUAUGACCCAAAUCUAAGGCUACCACUGUGGCCAUCUGCAGAAAGUGCAAGAGAAGGGAUCUUAAGCAUAUGGGAGACUGCUGAUGUGAUUAAGGUAUACCUCCUUCUAAUUUUAUUAUCUUCAAGAGUCUGUGUUAUCUGUUGGUGUACAUGCUGAAACAACAGUCUUUUUGCAAUUUCAAAAUGUCGAUAUCUAUUUCAUUUUUGGGUUGACAUUGAUCACCAGAUAAAUGAGAAUGAGAUUUCAUUUCUGACCCAAGGGGAAGAUCCAUAUGAUGAUUCUGUAGUUCGUAAAUUGUAUCAUCCUGACCUCAAGUUACUCCUUGUCACUGAAGGCUCAGAAGGAUGCAGAUAUUACACUAAGGUAAGCUUGUAAAUUUUUCAAUCCCUCCCUACUUGUUUCUGUGUUUCCAGCUGCGCAUGUAGUAGGUCUGAAAAACAUUCUAUGCUAGUUUAAAAGAAAAAUAUUAGGCAUUUGUGGAGUAUCAUUUAUUAUUCUCAAAUUCUUAAAACCGCUAGACUCCAGGAGUUAAAGAUCUUAAACUUGCUGAACUUUUUAGAUUGUAGUUCAAGAUUUGAACCAUAAAUGUCUAUUUCACAGGACAAUAAAAUCCUUUGUGUUUUCUUUGUAUGAUGUUUCAUAGACCAUUAUCCUGUGGAUGCUUUUAUUCUUCCUAAAUGUUAUCAGGGGCACUUGAUGCAUAGCUAUUACAUAUUUGAGGAUAUGGUUUCUUCUUUGAACUACAAAUUUAGAAGCUGCUAACACAAAAAGUGCAUGUUAAAAAAAUGUUCAGAAUUUUCUGAAUUUCGAUGCCAAUGUUGGCUUACAAGUCAUGAUAUUGUUUAUUGUUAAAGAAUAGGUGUAAAUCAAACACUUCUUGGUGAUUGACUUCUACAGGAGUUCAAUGGAAGAGUUAAAGGUUUGAAAGUGGAAGCUGUGGACACAACAGGUGCUGGAGAUGCCUUUGUGGCUGGAACUUUAUCACAACUAGCAACUGACAUAUCACUGCUUGAGGUAUUAUCUUUCAGGAACGGCACUUCUCCUGCUGAUAGUCUUAAAAUUGUUUUUCUUUACAUUGUCUAUGAUUUUCAGUUUCCAUCUUUUCUCGCUUCAACAUUUUUCUUGAUGACAUACCUUAAAUGAUAAUUAAAUUGAUGUUAAAUGUCAACAGUUAAGAAGGCUUGAAAACGUCUUUUUGAAGUGAACAAAGCUGCAAUUUUGAGGAAAAAAGUUACAAAAUCCCAAGUCUGUUUGGUUUUAGCCUUGUCCCAUACAUAAGGGGAUUUCAUCUUUUAUAGGGUGGAAAUAAUGGUUGAGGACCUAAAUUCUUUAAGCUGUUUUUGUUGUUUCUCUCAUAAAUUUCAAUUGAAAUUAAGCAUUUCUAGAGCUCGAUGCUUGACCUUGAUUUGACAGCAGUUCUGAUUCAGAUGAUCUUGUAUCUUUAUCUCUUAUAUAUACUUCAAUUACCUUAUCUCUAUCUGCUUUGGAAAGCGAUGAUAAACUAUGAAACCUUUUACAGGAUGAGGCCCGACUUAGAGAUGCUCUCAGGUUUGCUAAUGCAUGUGGUGCCUUGACUGUCACAGAGAGAGGUGCAAUCCCUGCUUUGCCAAGCAGAGAAGCUGUGCUGGAUGUCCUCCUUAAAGCUGUAGUGUAGCUGGUCAUUUAAUGUUAUCUGCAACUGUUUAACCACAUUCAGCAGUCUUUGUCUUUUUGUAAGGUCUCAUCACCAUUUGCUUUCACACACAUAAUUGUGAACGAGCACAUUUGUUGAGUCCAGGUAGGCCAGAAUUCUCAAGUAUAGAUGAACUCUGUUUUUUCUAUCUAGUAGUUAUGGAAGUGGAGGUUCAGAUCAGCUCCAAUUUUGUACAAUAUAUUGCUGCCAGUUUGGCAGGUUUCGACAAUAACAGGGCCUGGUGUAUUAGUCUUAUUACAAGUCUUGAUUGGCAAUAAAAGGUUCCAUGUUCUUGCUGAAUAUUAUUCUCAGUUGAACUCUUGAGUAGUGUUAUAUCAGUUACAACAUUUGAGAAUGGACUGUUAUACCUUUGAUCUUUUUGAGUCUUGACAUUUUACUUGUACUUGGUUCUGAUUGACUACACAGGGCUGUGUCAUGGGAAGUGAAAAGUGGCAUUAGCUUCAUUAAAAGAUUUCUUCAAUUUUAACCAAGAACAGGAAAAGUCAACCCGUUGUUUGACCCCAGCCUGAGAUGGACAAAAGAUAAAGAGCUUUUAUACGCUUUCAGCACAAAUCUUCAGAACUUCAAAAAUUGUCGAAGACGUAGCCAAGUAGGCAUUAGGAGUCCAAUAAAACAUCUAUAAAUUAAUAAGGUUAGGACCAUACAAAUUGGUACUUACAAUUCAAAGAAACAUUUAUUUAAUUAACUAAAGUUUUAUUUUAUUUUACAAAAAUAUGAAUUAUUCUAUUAAUAAAAGGAGGCAAAAAGUUUAAGAAAUACAAAUAAUCUUUAUCUACUUGAUUUGCAAGUAUAAUUUAACUCUAUUAAUGUUUUCAAUAUAAUUUAACUGACACGUAAUUGAUGUCAUUUUUUUUGAGGUCAGGUUAAAAAAGAUUUAGAAAUACAAAAUGAUGGAUGCCUAUAUUUAUUUCAUUAAAUGCAUACAAUGAAUCAAAUUAACAAUAUUACAUAUAUAAAUGAUAAAAACGUUUUCUUAUAAUAAGCAAACACAAAACCUUCUUACAUAUCUCACUAUGGUUUCUGUAUCGAAAGUGUUCAUAAAUCAACUAUGACUGAUCAAAUGCUAAACCACAUAAAUCCAUCAAAUACUAAAUCAUGCUAAAUUAUUAUGCGAGUAUAGUAAAGAGCAUCACAUCACAUACACUAUAAAUAAUUAUAAUAAUGGGUUUCCAAAAAAAUAAAUAACAAUAGGCUCAUAUUAAGAUAUGAUAUGUAAUUAUAGUGAAUUAUUAAUUUAUGAUAUGAAUGGGAUCAAAGGUUAGGUAAGGCUUUCAAAAAAAUUAUUAUCUUACUAGUUUAAUAAAAUUAUUAAUUUAGCUCAUUAGCCCAAAUUGGGAUUGAGAAAAGUAUUAUUUAAAUGUCUACAAUUCAAGUUUAUAAAGAUUUUUCUGUAAAUUUAUCGAGUAUAAAUUUAUAGGGAUUUUUUUUUUGUAAAUGCUUACAAUUAAUUUUUAUUAUUAUAAUUCAACAAUAUCAUUUUUAUUAUUUAAAUGUCUACAAUUGAAGUUUAUAAAGAUUUUUCUGUAAAUUUAUCGAGUAUAAAUUUAUAGAGAUUUUCUGUAAACGUCUACAAAUUAAAGUUUAUUAUUCUAAUUCAACAAUAUCAUUUCUGUAGAUGACACAUCACAUACGAAUUGUACUCUUCCGUGUCAAGAAGCAGCAGCAAAACCAAAAAAAUUAUGUUAAUAACAAAUUUGAGGCAGCAAAUCCCGUCUCCCCGAGAGCUAAAGAAAAAUUUUCGGUAAGACCGCUGAAACAGAGCGCUUUUAGUGGUGAAGCCGAUUGGAAAGCUUCUUCCCAAACCGAUACUAACCCGAAAGACAAGGAUGGCCAUAUCCUUCCCGUACAAUAUCCACUCUAUAAAUGUCCGCAUUCUGGUAUUUUUCUAGAUGCCAAACAACUUGUCAUUCUAAUCUAAUCACCCUCGCAACCAAAAUGGCUGAUGAUGCACAGGACCAGGCUGACCGAGAGAAAAUUUUCAAGCGUUUUGAUGCUAAUGGUGAUGGACAAAUUUCUGCGGCGGAGCUGGGGGAUGCCCUGAAGGCUCUGGGCUGUGUCACAGGAGACGAAGUCAAGCGUAUGAUGGAUGAAAUUGAUACUGAUGGCGAUGGCUUCAUUUCCAAAGAGGAGUUCACAAGUUUCGCGUUGGCCAAUAGGGGUUUAAUCAAAGAUGUUGCCAAGAUAUUCUAGUCUCCCUUCUUCUUUUUCGUUCUGCCAUCUCAUGCAGAUUGCAGUAAAUUUUUUUCUCUUCAUAGUUUUCUGACUUGGCUCAAUUCGUCCAUGUCAUAGACUUGGUAUUUACAAGUGCAUUUCCCAGUAGUUAAGCUGUAACGUGAAUUUUGUGUUAUCUAUAUAUGUAACUACCUGCUCAAUACAAAAUUCAUAACUAUCAGUUUUGCCAAGUUUUUCAGAGCAAGAACUAAAAGAAUAUGGGGCAGCUUGCGAGCUGCGAUCCCAGUUGCAUAUAUUAAUUCAAACCACGUGGUUAGCAACUUGGCAUAAUAUAUUUUGUGAAAUCUGUUUCUUUCCCAUGUGGAAGUCUUUCUUAAAUGGUAAACCAAUUGCUGGGCAGUUGACCAUAUUUUGGCCUUUGUAACUACCAUUCUAAUUGUUAAUUGUCUCUCCUCUCAACAUACCAAAACCUGAAAUUGAUUGAUCAACGUGCUCUGACCAUGCAGCUGGAGCUUAGGCGACUAUUGCGAAAAUGCAGAACUUAAGAGAUGGAAUUUGAGCGGAUUAGGCGAACAAGUUAAUAUCAGUAAACAUUAAUUCAGCCUUGUUAGGUGGUAUAGAAAACCAAAUGUUGUUAAGCUGUUGACAUCUCUAAGUAUGCCCGCGAUGUUGACGGUUCAGAACAAUUUAUAGAUCCAAGGGAAGGACACGCAUUGCUGGUGUCCUACUAAGAGAAUGAAAAGUAAAAGGAAAUUAGGGCUGUUCUUUUUCUUUUUUUAUGCCAAAGAAAGUUUGAGUAGAUUCGACUCCUAUCAUCCCUAUCGUCAAAGCAUGUCCCGGAAAUUAGGGCAUUUCUUUUUCAAGGGAUAAUUUCAUAAACCUCUCAUGAGGUUUCUAAUGAUUGCAGUCACCGCUCUUGAGGUAAGUAAGAAAUUUAAUUUAGUUCUUUGCAGAAAAAUUAAAGUCAUUUUUCAAGGCAUCAUCAUUUUUAAAUGUCUGAACCUUUUUAACCUUUGCUAAGUAAGUUGAGAAGAAAUUAUUUUUAACAAAUGCAUUCGUACUAAUAGGUUAUUUAUAAAUCUAAGCAAGAAGUCCAUUUAAAUGACCCAAGAAUUGAAUAUAAUGUAUUAGGUAAGAUGAUGUUAGAAUUUUUGAAUAAAAUAAUAUUUGCAAAAUACAGUUUUCUUUUAUCUUUAUGCCUACUUUUCACUUAAGAUUGGUAGAGUCGUCAAGCUGUUAUAGUCUUUUCAUAACACCAAGGGCGGUAAAUGUAAUUUUUCAAACUUUAAGGGAAGUGACUGCAAUUGUUAGAAACCUUAGGGGAGAUUUAUGAAAUUACCCCCUUUUAAAAUUGAAUGACCUUGUUGCAUAGAACAGACCAGGCAUGAGCACCUUGCAAAAGCUAGGUCUCCGGUCUCACACAAAAGUUGCAGUCUACGCGUGCAAAGAAACAUCAUCUAUCCCUUUGAAAGCAAUAUAUAUACACAGACACACUGACACCCAUAGCUCAUCAGACGGUGCCAUUUCUAUACACAAUGUUAAGAUAACUAAUCAGUUCUAGCCUAAAAAGUCUCUUUAAGCAAUCCAUCAAAUCAAAUCCUAUACUAGAUGUUAUCACUGCUGCGCUGCAUAUCACCUGCAGUACAGAUGAUCAUCUUCCUCAAACUCUGAAACUCCAAGCAUAGCUAAAGCUAAAUGACUCUUGAUUUCACUUUUUGUCUGCUGCAAUUGAGAGUAACAGUCACCGACAAAAUUGUUAGCCGCCGAAGUAGCUUUCUUUCUGUUUAAGCUAUUGGACUUUGCUCCUCUUAAUAUUGCAACAAUCUCAUCAAUGCUGGGCCUGCGGGAUUCUUCGCUGUUUACACACGCAUUCGCUGCUUGAACCAUCUGGGAUAUCCGAUUCGAGUACUUGUGAGUGAACUUGAGUCGUGGAUCCAGCAACUUUUCUAGGGGCCCUUGUUGCACUAAUGGUUUUGCCUGGAAGAAGGGCGAAAGGGAAUCUUCAGUUUUCCAUUUCUACUUGAAUAAGAAAUAGGGGCGAAAAAUAUCUAAGAAAAUAGGAACAACAAAGAGUUGAAACUUAUUUGCUUUCUCCCCUCGUCCAAAUUCACUGCGUUUGUUGACCUUGCACCUAACAUUCCUUGGCAUACACGCCCAACAGACAUGCUGAUCAAAUCUUGACAAUACCCAAUAGUUAUUACAGAGGGACCAAUUACCUAUUUAGCAAGGUUUCACUUAGUUUGAAAGAUUAAAAUCAAGGCAAACUAUUAUGAUAUCAUAUUAUGUUUGUCGCCAUGAGCAAUCACUGUAGAUGUAGAUAAGAAUAUGAUUUGGAGUUGUUUUCAAAGAAUCUCGUGACCGAAACUGCUAAGAUGCAAGAAUGCUGUUUAUCAGCACAAUAAACACAUCCAUUCGAACCUAGGGAAGAAACGAACAAGACUAGGCAUUUGUGAUGUAAAUCUAACCAUUAGCAAGAAUACUUGCGAUCAUAUCCCCAGAAAAUGAUUGAUUGACCGAACCAGACAUUAUGGUGCACCAUCAACAAUCUACUUAAAAAUGUGGUGAAAUAUGUGCUAUCUUCAGUGCAUCUAUAAUUAUUAGACAAAGAGAAUAGCAGGCUGUGUAGCAGAUUAGGUGGUAAAUGAAUUGAUGGCCUACCCAUAAAACCAAAUUUUCUUCUCCGGGUCCUCUUUUUGCCUCGAUAGGUUUCCUGCCGGUGAUGAGUUCCAAAAGGACAACCCCAAAGGCAUAUACAUCGGUCUUAUCAGAGACCUUGCCGUGCUGAAAAUACUCGGGUGCUAAAUAUCUGUCAUUAGUCCGUCCAUGAAAAAAGUCAGUCCGAGUCACAUAUUCCUAUUUGUCAACACUUACUUAUCAGUUUUUCUGAUAUAAUUCAUACCCGAAUGUUCCUUUCACAGUCUUGCAGAGGAAGGGCAAGGAGGGUGCAGGAGUCCACGUAGCUAAUCCAAAGUCACACAACUGCAUACAUCACAGUAGAGGAUUAGAAUAGCACAGCAUUAUUGAAUAGAAAUAGUAAUAAAACCCAUUAGGUCCAACUAAAUGGCUAAACAGACAAUUUAAAAAAAAAAAAAAAAAAGUUACAGUUGGAAGGUGACCAAAGAUCAGCAAAAUGAAAUUUCUUCCUAGUUCCUACCUUAGGUGUCUUCCUGGAAGUAAGAAGGAUGUUUGAGGGCUUGAUGUCCCUAUGAACAAUACAUCUUUCUGUCCCAUUAUGUAAAUAACUAAUUGCCUCUGCAAUACCAACAGCAACCCUGUAUCUAGCAGACCAUGGAAGUGCCGGACCACCCCUCACUCCCCUUUUCUUUUCUGCAAACAAAUUUCUCCAAAUCAGACAAGAAACUUCACCAUAAAUUGAGCCCGCGUUUGAGAUAAAAGGACAAGAAAUCAUACCAUGUAAAUAUCGCUCCAAGCUUCCUCCAGACACAUAUUUGUAGACCAAAAACAGACCCUCCUCAGGAUCAAUGCAAAAACCCACAAGAGGAACAAUGUAAGGGUUGUGGAGAGAACUAGCAAUCAUCAAUUCCCUGCAAAAUGCCUUUGAAGAUUCCUUGUCUUCCUUAUCCAACCGCUUAAUUGCCACAGCAGUCCUCAAAAGUCCAACUCUUCCUCUAAAAACACAGCUCAAUGCACCUCUACCCAAAACUCUACCUAAACAAAAAACAAACGCAACAAGAUCAGUCAAAAUCACAAGCACAUCAAUCAAAACAAAAACUGACAAAAGGGAUUCGAUUAAAAGUUCACCACUUUUAAGUACCUGUAGAAAAAUUGCAAGUUGCAUAAACGAUUUCGGCAUAGCUGAACCUAAUCAAAUAAUGUGCCACAGGAGAAAUGCUCCUUUCAAGGGACUCAAUUCUCUUCCACUUUAACUCUCUAGACUUGGAAUCAAUCACCCCAUUAUCCAAAUUCACCAUCAAAACAGUAGCAGAAGAAGACUUGUUCAUCACAUUCAUUGAUUCAAGCUCAACUUGAGAACAAAAACUGAACCUGAAAGAGGAGUGCACUGACUGAGGCUCAGCACUAUUCAACUCUGCCCCACAGCCACCAGACUCUGCAAGCAACCAAGCCUUAUUAUGCUCCAAACUGUUCCCACCCUUAUCUUUCUCCUCCUCAUCCUUGCCGGAACCUCGCCGCCGGUGAUGUGGAAUAAAGCAACCCAAACCAAAAUCCCAGAUCAUCUUAUACAAUAAAGAUUUGAUUUUUAUCUCAUCAUCAUCAUAGUAAUCACAAUAUUUAUCAUCAUCAGGGGCGGCCAAAGUUGAAGUCUUUGAUGAAAAUGAGUUGCGCAGAGGGACUAUAGAGUUAGUGCAAUUACUUCUUGAAAACACCAUUUUGAGAGCGGAUCUCAAAAAGUGCACAAAAACCCAGAAACCAAAAAGUUAGAAAGAAUAAAGGUGGAGAGAGAUGAGUGACGGACGUAGAAAAAAGUUGAAGCAACUUUGCUUCAAGGGUAGGAGAGAAUUAAAACUCAACAAAUGCAAAAACAAAUUGUCUUGGGCAACUGGAUUUACUAAUACUAUUUAAGCAUUAAAAAAAAGGGGGAUUCCUUAAUUUAUCAUGUUAGUAACGGGAGAUGGUGAGAGAUGGUCCCAAUAGGCUCAAAAGUUAAUGGCAUUAUACUAAAGAGCAAGAGAUGUAUGAAUGAAUGAAUGAAUUGUCCAACCGAAUAAUGCAGCUGCUAGUAGGAGCAAAGAGAGAGAGGAGAGAUUCUCGGUGUUAAUGCUUAACAAGACAAACAGAACCCACGAAAGAGGGGGAGGUACGUUGCAUAGCAAAUAUUAAAACAGGGGAGGCAGAGGAAUGAGCACAUGAGUAGAUGGGACUAAGCCACCAUGGAGAAUGGGAUUAUAUCUAAAUCCAAGAAUUAAUGUUAAGGGUGAACAAAUUAUUACCUACCUUUUCUAGAGAAAGAGAUGCGUAUCAUUGUCAUAUUCAUAGUAGUCAUUAUUACUAAUCUUGACGGGAAGGGGGAAGUUUGGAUUGGGUGUCAAUGUGGGUUGAGAUAAUUGACAAUAAUUACUUGGAAUAUGGUAACAUCAGAUUAUUUGAUUCAAUAUCAGACCGAAGAUGGCACCUGUAGUUUGGUGACCAUCCAUUUCAGUACUUAUGCAUCCCUCAAACGACCGCCAUUGACAUCCAAAGCUGGGCUCUCUUUGUCACUAGUUUGUUUAAGAUGCUUGAUUUUAUUUUCAUUAAUUUGGCAAAAGGUCGAUUGUGGAUUUGGCAGGGAUUUGAUCCUCUGAUCAGAGUGAGAUUUGUCAUUCUCCUUGGAGACAAAUUAAAUUGGUACAAAUCUUUUACAUUUUGCCAAGAGCGCGCAUUGUAGAAAUUCCAAGUUGGACUUUUGUUAAUUGUUAAUAUAGUGCAGAGGAGUUGUUCGGUAGAUGAUCAAACUUUGUCCUGCCUAGUUAGAAACUCAAACUCAAAUUUGGCUGCGCUCUUCAUGUAAAUUCUUGACAUUGGAACUCUUCUAUGGUUAAUCUUGUAGGCUGUAGCAGUAGCAAAAACUUCCGUGAAGCAUUGUGCCUUUUAAUUAUCCACUGAUCUACAUUUCCAUUAUUUUUUUUCCUUGAUCUUUUGUGUAAUAAUAAAUAUAUUGUUUUAGCAAGAUCAACACAAUGCUUGGAGAAAAGCUAAAGGGCAACAGAUCAGGUACACAAAUCUUUGUAAUUUGGCUUGGAUUAAGUUAAAACAAGGAUUUAAUGCUAGAGCAAAUUCAACCUCAAAUCACAGGUUUCCACAGCGAAUUAAUUUGGUGGGUGGGGGCCCCGGGGAGGAGUAACUGCUAGUUUCACAACUGCUUUUGUUUCCUACAUCGGCAGAUUUUUGUUGCAAAAUUUAUUGUUUAGGCAAUUGAAUUUCAAAUUUUCAGCUUCAGUCCAAAUAUAGCUUUAAAUUGAUGCAUGUCAUUUUCUUCCCGUCUCACUCGUGGGGACUCUUGAAAGGAUUGGCGUCUUGGACUUCAACGUAAAAUUUUUCAAGACGGACUACUAAUGGAGCAAAGAGUUAAAAUUUCUGUUUUUUUUUUCGUACUAACCUUUUAUUUUUUUUUUUAAAUUGGCGAGUACAACAGCAGUCAAAAUUGAACAUUAGAAAAUCAAAACAAAAUGACGUUUUUAUCCCAACUUUUUUUUUUUUUCCAAUGGUAACAUUUCAAAUUUUGGUGUACCGCAAACCAAAUGUGGAGAUUCACGCAUUAACAAAUUGAAGGGGUCAUAAAACGUGCCAAAUGAACCCCUCAAGAGUCAAGACGACCAGGUUUUUGGCAUGUAGAGAACAUUUUAUGUCUAGCUUUUGGCUAAUGGUUUGGACGUAAAUAAUCCACGUAACGCCAUUUUUGGUAUUGUGGUGGCAGAAGAAGGGAGUUUUACAAUUAUUUCUUGCAGAGAAUACAAUCACACGUCUUGAAUGCAUCAAAUCCAUCGCAAUAAGAAACAAGCUUGUGGUCUAUUUGUGCUCUCGCUAAUGGUUUUCAUGCGUACGGUGCAUUGCAUUCAUGUCGAUCAAUGCAUUAAGCAUGAUUUUCUUUCAUGACGUUAAAUUUCUAUACUAGUUCGAAUUUUAACUCGAGUACCACUGCCGGUGAUUGAGUUCGAGUUCAAGUACAACGUCAUUCAAAUUCGAUUCGACUCGAUAACACCUCUAAACAUUCAUACCAUGUCCAGCUGGGCAAUUUGAAGGAGGAUGAGGAUCAAGAAAUUAGUUCAAUAGAUUCUGGAAAAAGGCGAAUUUUGUAGGCCUAUUGUUGCUAUUUGGGCCAUGGAAAGAGCUGGCCAGUUUGUUGGUAAGGUUUUUGGUACGGUAGGUUUACUUGAAUUUGUCAGGAUAAUUCGAGGAAAAUCGAAUCAUUCUGAAUCUGGUUUUUCCACGUGUAGACAAACAAAAAUGGCUGCUACUCAAUAUUGGGACCUACAAAGAUUAUGGAUGAUUAAUUAUUUGAGUACGGUACGAAAUUAUGGUUUUGUUUAGAGACACGUAUGAUUGAACGAGGGGAUAAUUUUGGAGUAUUAAAGUUUCCACCAUUAGUUGGCUUGUCGUGUCAUGAUUAGGUGACUAAUGCGUAUUAAAGAAGACCAUAAAUCACGAAUAAUUGUUUUUAAGUAUGUUCCAGAACCAUUGAGCUAAUUAACUAUUACUGCUAAGGUGUUAGCAGCACUCGAGUAAAUAAUUAUUGCAAAAGGCCAUCAAAACAAAAAGAACAAUUAAAAAUCCUUGAAGGCAAAUUAGUGAAUUUUAAGAAUAGGAUGAGAGCUCCAUUUAGAUUUUAAUUUGUAAAGAAUCAGCACCAUUUGCCUUGUUAUUAAAAAUGUUACUAACAAUAAUAUUAUGAUGCUCUUAAAGGGGAAAAAAAUUGAAAUGAAAGGCAAUUAAAUAUUUGUUGAAAUUACUUGCUGCAAACGGAAAUGGAUCACAGUUUUACUACUAAUAAAGAUAAGAAAAUUAUGAAGUUGAAAACAAGGUCAACAUUGACAAAUGAAGAAAAUAAAUCCUCAUGCAACGUUGACGAGAGGGAGAUAUGCAUCAGUUGCCAACAUGCGCCUACCCUUGGUGUUUAGUUUACUGAUUCAUCAAUCAUCAUGGCUUUGAUUUUUUGAAAAAAAAAAUGAAAUGAUGAAUUAAAAAGGAAAAGAAAAAAGAAAUGUCUGGUUUCCCUUUUUUUUUGGCUGGGGACAAUAAAGACGUGUUGAUCUUUGUUUCGAUUGAGUGCUUGGUCACCUAAUGACAUAAUAGUUGUGCCAAUGUCUGAGGUGAGGUGCAAGGCCUCCACGUCACAUUUACUUUUUGAAAUCUAAUUAUUAUGUUCUCAUGCAUCUUAAUUAUACAGUACUGUUUUUAUUACUAAAUGAUAGGGCUGCUUACGCACCCCCCCCCCCCCUCUCUAAUUAUUAAGAUCCUUACAGUCAAACAAAAAAUUAUUAAGAUCCUUUUUGUCCCUUUCAUUAGUAGUUGGAAAACAAGAGAUGGUACAAUGUAAGCUAUUCUUUGCAAGCAAAAAACCAUUAAAACCUGUUUGGAUUGCUAGUUUAGGAAUUUCUAUAAAAUAAAAUGUAUUGUAACGAUUUAAUGUAUGUAAAAUCAAACAAUGUGUUGGUGAAAAGAUUAAAAUUUUUCCUAUAAAAAAACAAUAUUCCAAACAAAACCUUACAUUUUGUGAAAGAGGUCGAUAACCACAUCUCAGAGAUAAAUUCCAGCUGAACCCCCAAACAUCAUAUAUUGAGAUAACGCUGAGCUUACAUGUAGUAGUAGUUAAACAUGAAGGUUUAUACAAUAACAAUCUUAUAGUUAUGCAAUCACAUCAUAAAGAGAGCAUCACACACACAACUACACUUCAUAUUUCCCGAGAAAAAAAAACAAAGUCACUUUUUUUUCUUUUUUAGGGGUGUCCCGUAGGGAGUGGAUCUCGCAGACUAUUCCCCACCCUCCACAACAACUUGCUGGCAGCAAGGUUCUAACCAGGGACCAAAGGCUCCAUCUUCAGCAAUCUCAACCACCAGGUGAUAACAAUCUUAUAGUUAUAGAUUAUUGGGCUGAUAACGCAUCGAAAACAUUUUUAGUUUAUCUAGGACCAUUCGAAGUAUUAUGGUGCAAAAAAAAAAAGAAAGAAGAAAGAAAAAAUUAACUUACAAGCCUGAAAAUGAGAUGGGGAAUUUGCAGGCGUGGUUGAUGGUUAGUGGUGUGAAUCGUGCGAAUUGUCAAAAAAUGUGCAUUUCUUUCAUUAUCCAAUUGCAAAUUGUCAAUAUAUUCUUUUUGCUCAUGGUGCGUGAAGUCAUCAAGAAUGUGGGCCAUGUGACGACCGGUUCCUGAAACAUGGGCCAUGGCUAAUUCAAUCUUGGUCCCAAGCUGCUUCAUCUUCUCGGAGUCGCCAGUUGAUAAUACUCCGUCACCUGUUUCUCCAAAGCUACUUCUGAGUUUUGAAUUUUGACAAAAACUACAUGUAGCCGUUGCGUUCCACAUUUUACUGUUUUGGGACGAAUCAUAACCAUAAAAGAGUAGUGUGCCUUGAGUAAUAGACUGAAAUAUUAUUUAGAAUACUUAGUGUAACAUCUUUUAUGACAUGAUAUUUCAUGUGUGCGAUAUAAAAAGAUAGUUAAGAAUUUAAAAUAUAGUUGAAAAACUUGUUCAAUACUGCAUGGUAAAAGCAAAAUAAUGGGCCUGUUUGGAAGCUUGGUUUUUUACCAAGUUUGUAUAAUACUAGUUUUUUAACAACUUUUGCUACAGGAAUCCCAAAAAACUUAUCAAAGUUUUUAACCUACACACUUAAAAAAUACACAAAAAAACUUUCUCUUCAACUUUUCUUAUUUUUCCUCCCUCACCCAACCCACCACAUCCUCCGCCGUCGGCCACCACCUCCACCACCGCUUCCGGCGCCGGUCACUAUUCCGGCCUUCCUCUUUUUUUUCUCUCUCUCCCUCACCCCCUCUCCUCCUCUCCCCUCCCCCUUUGACCGAUCUGUUGGCGUCCUUCUGAAAAUUUUUUCCUUUUUUUUCUCCCUCCCCCCUCCCCUCUUCGCCUUUGCCUCCCCCUUUGACCGAUCUGGUCGCGCGACCAGAUCGCAAAGGGGGAGAGGGGAAGGGGAGGGGCCCGACCAGAUCGCGUCACGAAGGGGGAGAGGGAGGGUGGCGGGGAAAGGGGAGGAGAGGGGAAGGGGACGGGUAGCGGGGGAAGGGGAGGGGCGCGACCAGAUCACAUCGCGAAGGGGGAGAGGGAGGGUGGCGGGGAAGGGGAGAUGGAGAAGAGGGAUGGCGGGGAAGUGAGAGGGAGGGGGGGGGGGAGGGAGAGGGGUAGAGAAAAAAAGCAAAAAAAAAAAAAGAGGGUGAAUGGGAAAGGGAGAAGAGAGAUGGCGGGGAGGGAGAGGGAGGGGUGGCUGCCAUGGAAGAGAAAAAAAGCUAAAAAAAAAAAAGACAGACUAGAAAGUUGCUGUCAUGGAAGUCUCGGGAGAGGGAACAGUGGAGGGAAGGGGGAGGGAGAAGAAGUGGGAAGGGAGGAAGGAAAAGAAAAAAGAAAGAAAUAAAAUGAAAAGGAAAAAAAACUUUUUAUCUUACAAAAGUUUUUCUACAACUUCUACAGUGAUCUACAGUAAAGUUUUAUACAAACAUCUAAAAAACUUGCAUUCGAAACAGGUUUAAAAAAAAUUUUGUUUCCAAACGCACCCACUAGUAUACUUGCAAUUCUUGAUCACCUUUGCCGGAAUCUUGAUUAAUUGUGUCGACUCUUCUCACAUUUUAUUUGUUAUAAACUUGAUGAAUUCAACUAUAUAUAGACGCUAAAUGCACAAAUAAGCAAAAGUGAAGCAACAAUUCAACUUUGUUAAAUCUGCAUUACCCAAAAAGAAAAAAAGAGAUAGAUAUGAUGGUAAUAUGUUCUGAGCCCUGCCACAAUUAAAUGUGGCAUUGCUUAAAAAAUUCAGGCAGGUGCGUAGUGCACCCAUCUGAUCCGAUGGUGGUUCAGUCCCUUUCGAGUUAUCCCAAAAUUUCUUCAGACCCUUCCCUCCCCAUAACUAGGAAGUUAUAUGGAAAAAAAAAAAAAGAAAAAAUAUUCUGAGCCCAAAAUUUAUGAACCACUCAGCGCCUGUAGUAAUACUCCCCUAUUUUUUAAGUGCACGCGCAUGAGGCGCAUGGCAUGACGUAGACUUCUUCUGAAACAAAAUACGUCCUGCAUCUGCAUGAUGCCAUAGUCAAUACGACCACUCACACUGCUAAAGUAAGGAGUAUUCUAUAAACAAAGGAGGGAUUAGAGAGUUUUAGGUGUGUUUGGAUUUCAACGUUAUUUCUAGACAUAUUUUUUAAAUAUUUUUUUAUUUUAUAUAUAUUAAAUCGUUACAGUAAUUUUUCUAAAAAAAAGUCAGAAAAAUACAAUCCAAACAACCAUUUAGGCUAUUUAUUGGUAGGUGAAGCCCUCAUAAAUGAUGAUGAAGCUUUCGUAAACGGGUGUGCUUGCUCUACUACACGUUAUUUAUGUAUGCAUGGCUGCAAGGUGUUAUACUAAUUUGUGGUUGCGUUUGUAUUUGUUAAUCUACCAACGCAAUUCUCAUUGUAUUGUCAAACAUGAUCUUCCAAAGCUUGAUAGUUAUUGCACUAAGUCUGCAGAUUUUUACGGACAAUUUAAAGGUCUAAUUCUACUUUGCACCUUCUAACUUGUAUCCGUUUCUUAUUUCGCACCCUAAAUUUCAAUUUGAAGCGCAUCACACUGUACAUCCUAAAACUCUUGGAACUAAGGAACGUAUGAGUGAUGUGCGAGUAUAGCGAUUGCAUAUGGGUAGACGGAUUGAUUUAAUUUUGCAAUUUUUGCACUCGUGUAUAUGCUCCUUAGUUUGAUUUAUAGUUUAUAAUACAAUGUGUCUAAAAUUAAAAGUUUAGAAUGUAAAAUAUAAAUUAAAAAGCGCAAAGUAAAAUUAAUCAUAAUCUUCACAUAAAAAGCAUUCAUCCAGACAGACAUCAUCCAAAUUAGUGGCCACGGUACCGUACGUAUAGAGAGUGUACACAGUGGACACCUUGACCUCAAAAAUUUACCAAUCAUUUUUGCAGAAUAAGUGAGGGUAAAAUUAAUCAGAAUGAAAUCUGACAAUGCAACCAGAUAUACAAUUUAAUUAAUUAAUUAAAAUUUUGUUUGUUGACAAGAGAAUUCGCGACCGCUAUCCGGGAGUAUGCAACUAGGUAAACACCGUUCGGUGCAAUAGCCCACCAAUCACACGAAGGAGUAAGACGCACUAGAUAAACCCUGCGCAAUGGACGGAUGUCCCAGAAGAGGUUCGAAGUUGGGCUGGCAGGCAGACAUGACACCAAUUCUACCGUAUCGACCAACUCAAGGGACUAAUUAAUUAAUUUUUUACACUUUGGUAAUGAAACAGUAGAUGCAUUUGCAACAGAGGCACCGGAAGUACUUGGGCAACGAGGGAGCACAUGCACUCGUACUGGUUGAUAUUUCUUGUCCCCAUAAUCCAUGAUUUAGACUAGUAUUUGUCGUGGACAAAGGCAUUCAGGCUUCAGCUAAAAAUAUUUGGAGACAGCAACUCCAGUUUGCCUUUGCUAUUUUAGCAAAAAAAAAAAAAAAAAAUCUAUCUCAAAAGCAUGCAAAUCUUUAGAGUAUGUAAUACAGACAAGAAGCAUAAAAUUAAGGAAACUAUUCGUCAAUAAUCAUACAGUUUUUUUUUUGGUCGAAAUGAUAGGACGUCAAUAACCAUAGGGUAUGGAAGUGAUAAUUUUGUGUAAAUUAAUCAUGUAUGAUUGCUUCCGGCUUCCUGGUGCGUGUUUAUAUAGCACAAGCCGGCAGAUCUUGUUGAAACGGGAAAAGGAGUCAACGUGGUUGUGACUUGUGAGGCCGAGGAAUAAUGGCAAUUUGAUCUUGAGCGAAUUGGGCCACCGGUUCUUUUAUGGCCCCUGUUUAUUGAUAUGGGCCACCAGAUCUAUUCUUGGCAAAGCUCCAAAGGAUCCAAGUUGGCUCCAUUUUGUGAUCUGAGGAUAUUAUGCCUUUUAUCACAAUCCAGGAAGGAUAACAACACGUGGGCGUGCCGGAGUGGUUAUCGGGCAUGACUAGAAAUCAUGUGGGCUCUGCCCGCGCAGGUUCGAAUCCUGCCGCUCACGUCUCUUUCCUUUUGUAGUUUGUACCCCUGGCUCUCUGAGGGAGGGCAAAAAAAUGCAAAGGCAAAGUUCGCUAGAAGGAGGGCUUGAACCUCCGACCUUGUGGUUAACAGCCACACGCUCUAACCAACUGAGCUAUUCCAGCUUCUUGUUGAACUUUGGCACUCCAACAAACUGAGAUAUUUGAGUUUCUUCGUGGUUCGUAAUCCAUCAUCGAGUUUCGCUAGAAGGAGGUCUUGAACCUCCGACCUUGUGGUUAACAGCCACACGCUCUAACCAACUGAGCUAUUCCAGCUUCUUGUUGGCUCGUAAUAUAUUAUUGAACUUUGGCACUUCAAUAAACUGAGAUAUUCCACCUUCUUCAUGGUUCGUAAUCUAUUAUUGAGCUUUGGCAAGUUUAAUUGUUUUUUCCGAAGUAAUCUAUAAUUUUUUAAAGUUCCAAUGCAGAGUCGUCGGCUUGCUGCAAAGAUAAGUGAAAAGGUGAUCAAGUCCCAUAAAAUCUAUCCAUUUUGAUGACAUUUAUAAGGGUUAGUGUUGGACUUCAUUACCAGGCCAAAGUUCCACCCUCUAUCAGUCAAUGUAAUUUGCACCAAGUCAGUCAAUGUAAUAGACAAUUAAUUAAUUAAGCCCGGAAACCAGAAACUUUACCAGAGCACCAUCCGAUGUGACACUUCAUUAAUCUUCGAACAAUGCUGUGUACUAGCACAUCAUCCCCUUGAAAUCUUGGUUAUCUUGUAACUGAGCUACAGCUUCUGGAUUGCCCUGAAACAGCUGAAAUUCCAGAACCAGUACCGUGCCUGCCACAUCAAGUUCUAUCGAGAGAACCUCUUGCUCUUGAUCCUGUAAUCGUUUACUCAUCAAGAGCCAUUCUGCACUGCAUCCUGUAUGAGUCACAAAGAAGAACACGAUUGGCUAAGAUUUCAGCUUGUUAAACUUCCUUGGAUGUGAUGCAAGCCCUUAACCGACAUAAAGUUGGGGCAACAUGUGUCUUUUCAUAAUCUCUCAUAAACAAGAAUUUACAAGCUAGCAAUUCUAAACUAGGAUGAACGCAUUAUUGAUUCAAUCACAAGAAACAGAAUAUGUAGGAAAAGUUUUCUAAAUUAAGCAAUAAAGUUUUUGCUCAGAAAGCUCUUUAUCAAUUUCAUGAUAGCCAGAGCUAAGAUCACAACAACUGAGUAUGCUUUUAAAUCGGAAAUUUAGACAACAAUUUUGGUGUCCCAUAAAACGUGUUGAAAAGGAACAAGACAUGGAGGAGUUAUAAACCAGAUAGCGCAAAAGGUUAGCUUUUGAUGUCUCACAGUUGCAACUAACAUCUUCUGAAUCUUGAGAUGUCUUUGGAUGCAAAUUCCAUUCAUUCCUAGAGUCUUUCCAGACGAACAAUUAGACAAACUUUUCAUACAGAUAGACAGGCAAUUGCAGAAGCAAAUCUUAUGGAGAAAAUAAACCUUUGGGUGCUCAAACUAUACAUACUACAUCAUGCUGGACUUAUGAUCUGACAUCUCUCAGGGCUCAAUACUCAAGGAUAUUAAGGAGAUCUUCUGCUUGGCUGCUUAUGAUAAACUAUUUAGUACAUUGAGAUUGAUAAGUUAUACAAGUGCAUCCACAUUUAUGCUCUAAACAUCAUUUGCUGACCACAGCAUCCCAUUAAAAAACUAAACGAUAUAGCUAGUCGCAUGGUAUAGAAAGAGCACAACCAUGAAUAGAAAGGAGCAGAUACAUUGAUAACCAGAAACUACUUCAUCAGCCCAUACAGUGUAAUUCUUUUCUUUGCAAACACUCGCCUAGCAUACAGUCAAGGCAAAAAGCGACAAUAUGAUACAAUAAACAUAUACCUACCUAAUGUUUUUCCUGUUUUUGACAGGCUCUGCUUUAACUUGGACACUGUCAAAGAAUUUAAUUUGAUCCCCCGUUCAAUCAUAUCCUCAGCAUAUUUGAUUGCUUCUGCAAGUUUAUUGCCAUCACGAAGACCAGCAACCAACAAAUUCCCUGUUUCCUCCAAAUCAUAGUGGUAAUUCUGAAUCAUAAAUGAAGAGGAUAAAAGACAUCAAAGGAUAUCUUCGCAAUCGUUCUUCUACUGGAGUAGAGUAGAGUAGAGCUGGGGAGAGGAGAGUCAGGUGCAAACCUCUUUUAUUUUUCAGUUUCCCACUUAUUCUUUUUUCCUCAAGAAAAUCCCCUCUCUCACCCCUUUUCAGUUCUGUGUAUAGCUAUUGGAUUUGGAGACCCAGUUCGACAAAAAAAAGUGGUAACUGCACCCUCCGGCCUAGUCCGACUGCUUGUGGUUGUCUGGGGCACUGUCACUGACUGAAGAUUUAUUAAGAAGCCACAAUGGAUUUUCCCAUCCAGGUGCAUCAAAGAAAAUAUUUUUUCCUUUUUUUCCCCCCCACGUUUUCCAAACCAUUAGAAAAUUUUGAGCAAUAUUUAAUUUCAUUUAUCCCAUUUCACAUAAUAAAGUUUUAAGGUCUCAUUGUUGAUCUUUAUUACAUUAAAGAUUGAAUACCAAAAAAGUGGUAAUUGCAAUGAAGCUAUUAUGGAUUGAAAUAGUUGAUUGUUACCAUGAUUUUAAUUGAUCCAAACUGAGUUAAUGGAAAUACUUUGUUUCUCUUAGCUUGAAGAAUAUGUUAGAAUCAAAAUAUGAAUGUAUGUGAUUGAAUACUUGCCAUUAGCCAAUCUAGUUGUUAAUAACAACUUCUUUCAAUCCAAUACGAAAAACAGUUUCGAAAUCUAAGGCCUUGCUUGGAUUGAAGGUUUUCGUCGGAAAAUAUUAUCGUUUUCCGUGAUCACAUUUCCCUAUCACCUUUUUCCCUCACAUAUAUCAAAUCGCUACAGUAAUUUUUCCAUGAAAAAUGACGGAAAAUGCAAUCCAAACACAACCUAAUGAUGCAUAUGACUCUUUGCCAAACAGUUUCUUUAAAAGAAUAAAAAAAAAUUGAGGACUUCAUUGCUAAUUUUCUUGAUGACGCGAAUGUUUUGCACUGAAUUUUCGUAUUGGUCAUGACUUUUGAGCCAUAACCUCACAAUACAACUUCGUAGUAUGAAUUUUAAAAUUUGUUGGAUAUUGUGCGGGCGAAGUCUGAUUGGCCAAGCUGAGUGGUUGAAGUAGUACCUGAAUGUCACGGGCAACAAGAAAACGCUUUUGUAAAAGAAUGUAUCUUACCUGAAAUUUGAAGUUUGAAUUCAUUAAAUUAUUAAGUAUUAAAUUAAAUAUAUUUGAGCGUAUAUCACAUCACAUUCAGUGAUAAGUGAAUAGAUUAUCACUUAUUUUUUGAAGCAAAUUUUGUCUGAAAAAUUCAGUGACACUUAAUUAAUUCAAUUGUUCAAUUUUUUAUUAUCAAAAGCAUCUGAAUACAUUAAUAUUUGAAUACAUUAAAUUUAAAUGUUAGAUUGCAUUAUCAAAUAGGGUCUCAGACUCAAGUGUUAAAGUGGUGAAAAUUAUCCUUUGUAACGAAACACAUGAAAAAUGUCAAGACUACCAUUGUUUAAAAUUAAAAUGGUUGAAACGACUAAAAUAUAUAAAUAUAUUAUGCAUUACGUUAUAAUCCCUUAUAGUUUUAUGUUUUAUCACAUAAUUCCCUUAUAAUUUAGUAUUUUACCAUAUAAUUUUCUUUUGAUUUUUAAAAUAUAUACAUAACCUCCUAUGGUUAAUAAAUAAUUUUCAACUUUACAAAUUUGGUACUUUUGACAUUUUAAUUGAUUUCGUUAGUUUUAAUUGAUUCCUUUUUCAUCACUUUAACACUUUAUCUCAAAUUGCGAAGGAAUUAUGUAUAGUUUUUGACAUUAGAGGAGGGUUAUAUGAAAAAUGUGCUAAACUACAAAGUACAUAAGGGUAGGCACGUCAAAGGUAGGGUCUGAGUUGGAUUCCUUUGAUCCAGAUCCAAACCUAUUUAAUUUAGUUAGACCCAGAUCCAAAUCCAGAUCCAAACCCUUUUGGGUUUGAAAAAGUAAGUUCAUACCCAAACCCUUAUGGAUUUGGGUAUCUAAUGGGUAUCCAUUGAUAUUUUCUGAACAUACUAAAUUAAAAAUGUAAUUAAAAUAUAUAGAGUUCAUAAAUAAUAUAAAUACCAUCCAAUUUUUGUUUUCAAAUAAUAAAAUUAACAUUCAACAACUUGAAUGCAAUAUUGUGAACUCAAAAAAAGAAUUAUUAUUGACUACUUUUAUAUAUUUUCAAAGAUUCAAUUGCAUCCAUAUCCAAUAUUUCAUUUGUUUGCAUUUAUCUUUUCUUAUUUUCUUGAAAAAGUUUGUACCAAUUACAAUGACAACUAAAAGAUUAUUUUUUAAAAAAGAAAAACAACCAUAACAUAUAUAAAUGUUUAGUCUUAUUAAAGAAAUAAAAUUUUGUACAUCUUUUCUUAUUUAAACCUCAAUGUUGGUAAAUGUCUCACAAUCCAGCACUAAAAUAGUGAAUGAAAUAAAAGUCAUUUGACUAAGGACCGAUGGCAAAUAAAUAAUAGAAUAAGAAAAUUUAUAAGCACUUACUCAUUUUUUUGAUUCAAUUCAAUCAUCAAUAAUCAUUAAUAUUUCAACCAUAUCUAGAAGCAAUUUGGCACGAGUUUCAUCAAUCACCUAAUUAUCAACAGUAAAUACAAAUUCUGAUGCCAUAAAAUCUUACUGUAUUCGAUCUAAUAGCCAUAAAAUAUUAUAUUAUUUUAUAAAUUUACUAAUAUAUAUUAUUUAAUUAAAUAUACAUGACUCUGGGUAAAAUCUGGUAUGGAUUUGGAUUUGAUUAUGGAUUCUAGAAAAUCAGACCCUACCUAAACCCACGACUCUCUCACAGGGUCUGGAUUUGGGUAGGGUCUGAAUUUGAGAAAUUAAAUCCAAACCGUACCCAAAAAUAUUGGGUUUAGGUUGGAUCUGUGUAAGAUCCGACCCAUUGACAUGCCUACAUAAGGGUAAACAAGUUUGAAUUCCCCAUUUUUUAAUAAAUAAUUUUUUUCAUAUACAAUGAUACAGUAAUACAUAAACAAAACAACUUAAAAAAUACCACAUUCAUACAAUAUAUCAAAAAGAAUUCCAAAUAUACAAAAAAAAUCUACACCAUCUUUUUCUCUAAAAGAUCACCACUACCAACCAUCCCCUUCUUCCUCCUAUUUCAUCUCCCUCCCUCCCUCUAUUUCCUCUCAUCUCUUCUUCCUCCUUCCCCUUUUCUACCACACCCAUCGAGACUAGAUAGGAGGAGGAGAGGAGAGAGGCGGGGUGUUGCGUGAAAGGAGAAGGGAGGAGAGGAGGGAAAGAAAAAGGAAGGAGGGGAAAGAGAUAAAGGCGGAAGAGAGAGGAGGGGGUGGCGGUGAUGGUGGGAGUAUUGUUAAUUUUUAGAAUAUACCUUAAAAAUUUUUAAACUUUUAAAAUACCUCAAAAUAUAUCUCAAAAAUACCUCCAAAACAUUUAUAAUAAAAAUUUUUCAUAUACAUUGUUAUAAUAAAAUAUUUCAAAAGCACUCUUAAAAAUAGCUAAUCCAAAUGGAGCUAUAAUUUACCUUUUCGUUUUGUCCUUUGAGGUAAUUAGUAGAACUUGAUGAAAGAUGCUCCUCCAAGAGUCUGAUUAUUUCUUUCCAAAAAAAAAAAAGAGAGAGUCUGACUAUUAGUAUCUUAAUACUAAUAGUCAAAACUUGGUUUAAUCGUUUAUAUUAAUAUUAAUAUAUAUGUAUGGGUAUAAAAAUGUGCAAAGGACAUGUACAUUUAUAGGGUAAGUGCCCCUUAAUCAUCCUGCGCUUUCCUACUAAGCCACAGGGGGAAAUCACAUAAGUAAAGAGAUAUACAUAAGACAAGGAAGGUAAAUCUGCAUAUUUCAUAGCUUGCUUCAAUAAUCAUAAAACACCUGCCCCAAAAUCCAUUUCGGCCUUUUCCGCGAGAAAGGAAAAUCCAAAUAGUCUGCACCACAAAUCUUUUUAAGGCGAGACGUGUACUAAAAUGGGUUGGCUGUUGGAAAAAAUUAAAUCGCAAGACGCCUGCAAAUUAGAUGAGAUCAAGACCUCAGUAACAACAAUCGAUAGCCCCUUGGUUUUUAUUUGGCAAUUAUCGGAUGACAUCGAGUCCUCAGUAACCACACCCGAUAGCCUAUUGUUUAAUCAGAUGACAUAGGUAAUAAAUACUUCAGUUCGACACCCGGUGGCAUGGGACUGGGACUGGGACUGGCAGAGUUGCAUCCAUAAAUUCAAGAAUUGAGGAAAGCAGAACCUUGUUGGCUGCUUGUUAUCAUCUCUGGACCCAUGUCUGAACAGCUCCCUCUUCCAGUUGCUGACCCUUCCUCUCAACUUCCUCCCCAACAACCACAACCAAUUCUGCUACCACUACCGCCGGCAAACAACACACUUGAGCCCGCAGCUCAGUCGUCCAACAGUAAUUUUUUUUUUUUUUUUUUUUUUUUUUUUCAUGUGGGAUAAUGUAGCCUUGUUCUUGAGAUGGUUUAUUUGGGGCAAACAGAAGUGUAAAAUUAAAAUGCAACCUGAAAACAGUCAGGGUGCUGGGGAAAAGGGAAGAAAGAAAAAAAGAUCUGAACUGUUUCUGACCUUGACUGGUUUUUCUCUGCAAAAUGAUGAUUUGUUGGAGGUUUUGCAUUUCGGCUCCUUCAUAAUGGCAAUGAUAAACAGCAGUUCCUUUAAAAAUUUUUUUUUGUCGGCUAUAUUAAGUGAUAAGUGGGGUUUUUCCUUUAUCGUCCACUUGGAGGGAAACCUCAAAAUAUUGAAGCUUGAUGUCCAUUAGUGUUUCCUUAUGGAAAUUUGAUUAAUUUUGUUCUCUUUGCCAGGUAUCGUAUGUUGUAAUAUGUGUACUUAUCUUGAAGAGCUAUAAGCUUUUUUUGAAUCUUUAGAAUGCUAGACCAUGCUACAUGAAGAUCUUGGAUUUCGAAAAUUUGUUGAAAUUAACCUUCAGUCAAGGCUUAUUAGGAAAGCAAGACAAGCUUACUAGGAAGCAUUUGCGGGUGAAGUUAAGAUUAUCCGAAUUUUCCAAAUAAUUUUUAACUUUUGUUGGAGAGUUGUAUGCAAUGCUUGCCCCUGAUUAAUUCAGCGUGCUUUCCUCAAUGGUUUAAUGCAAAGUAUGAUAUUUUUUAAUAAUUAAUUCAUUAUUUCCAUCAGUUGAGUUUGAGAUUGACCUGUUGUGUAUCUUGCUGAAUUAAGCCUUCUUUUCUGAUGCUCGAGAUUUAAUUUGAAUAUUUUGGUUAUGAUAAAACUUGGCUUAUGGGUUAAUGCCAGACUACCUUCACGAUUAAGUAUUAAAGCAAAAUAUAAGUUAAUGAUGGAUCUUAUUUGAGCAACUUUAUAAUGGUGUAUUUUUUUAUUUUGAAUAUUGUAGGUGGUGCAGAGCGGCUCAUGUAUAAAAACCGACUGCAAGAAUACACACAAAAGUCUUCCUUACAGCUCCCUGUUUAUACAACUAUUAACGAAGGAGUUCAACAUGCACCAAGGUUUAGAGCUACAGUUUUAGUAGAUGGAAUGUAUUAUUCACCUCAAGGAAAUUAUCCAACUCGAAAGAGUGCAGAACAAGAAGCUGCUAAGAUUGCUCUUGAAAAUAUUCAGCAAAAGAUGAGGGAUGAUGGGUGUCCAAUCAUUCGUGAGGUGUGUUUUAGCAUCCCUUGUACAUUAUUUCUCUAUCAUUUAGUUUAGGAAUAUUGAUUAAAGCAUGAUGUCUUAGCCAAUGAGUUAUUUCCUGCUCAUCUUGCAUGAACUAUCAUGCAACUGUUACAAGUAUAAAACGAUUGAUCAAUUUCCUCUAAAGCUCUAAUAGUGACAUAAGAGAAUUUGAUCUAGUCCAGCUGUUGUCUUGUCUAUUUUCGUCAUAGAUACCUUAAAAAAGUGCAACUCUAAUCUGUACAAGCUGGCCAUUACCACAAGCUGUCAAAAGCAUAGGAUGCAACAUUUCGUAGUCUCACGAGCCUGGGGCCUGGUUUGUUAUAAAAGAUAUAUGCCAGCUUCCUAAGUAUUAAAGGCCUCUGUUAGCAUACGAUGUGCUCCAUAUUUUGUUUCAAGGAAAUUUGACAUCACCAGUUCUGCGUUGCUUAAGAAGAUCUUAUUUUAAUGUGAUUGUUACCGCUCCUCUGCCCAACCAUCUUGCUCUAUCCAUUUAUUUUAAACUGUUGGCCUCUUGGGAUGGAGCAAAAAAUAUUUUUGCAGUAAAUUCAGGACGUUCUACAUUUGUUAAGUUAAUGAUUGAAGCAAAUCCUGAUUCAUUUGAUUUUUAUGAAGGGUAAACAACAAAGAAGCCCCCUGUGAUAAACUUAAUAUACAGAAAAGCCCCCGGUGAUUUCAAAACAUACAAAACGACACCUCAUGUUUUGAACUAAAUUGUAAAGGUGACCGAAUCUGUUAAACUUAACGUGGACGGACGAAAUGACAAAAAUGCCCUGAUAUAACUAAGCAAAAGACGGCUCAACAAAAUUAUUUGUUUCAUUUUCUAGAGAGAGAGAAUUGGGGGCUAAAAGGUAGAAUAGGUAUAUUUGUUAAAAAUUAGGUAUAAAAUUUUUUUUUUAGGUUCCAAUAAGUCAUUUCCGUUAAUUUUAACGGAUUCCAUCACCUUUACAAAUUGGUUCAAAGCAUGAGGUGUUGUUUUGUACAUUUUGAAACUACGAGGGGGCUUUUCUGUAUAUUAGGUUUACCACAAGGGGCUUUUUUGUUAUUUACCGUUUUAUGAAUGAUAUUGAGCUUACCAUUUCAGAUAUCCUUUUAAAUGUGCUUGUGUUAGUUGACUUACCUUGGAAGAUGAGCAGAUCAUGCUUUUUUCUGGAUUUAAUCUGUAGGGGAUUUUAGUUUGUCACGUACUGGAGAUUAUUCAUGUACAUUGUUUAGUCGAGUAAAAUUAUUAGCUUUUUUGGGAUAUUUCAUGGUUUUUGAAAAUCCUUAGAAGAAAGCAAUAAUGAUGGCAUGACUCAUAUUUAUGGUGUAGUAAGAGAAUUCUCUUGAAUUUAUUCAUGAGCUGAUACACAUUUGGUUUCAUCAUAUAUUUCUUGCUAAGUCAAUGUGUUAAUUAGUGCUUGCAGAGUUUUUGCCUUGCUUAAAUUCCCGAAGCAUGUCUCAUCUACACAUUUGAUCUAAUGGUUGUUGUGAUGGAUGUAACCUGGCCUUCUUUUGUUGGUUGAAAGAAUAAACAAAUGAUGUCCAAUAUAUUUGAAUUCUUUUUGUUGUGAAUGAUCUAGUAUAUUGCUCAUGAUGUCAGUUUGAUUGCUUUCCCUCUUUCUUUUUUUCAGGAUACAACUUUUUGCAAGUCCAUCCUGAAUGAGUAUGCUGUUAAGAUGCAUCUAGAGAAACCAGCGUAUAAUACAAUUCAACCAGGAGGCUUGAUUCCAGUUUUUGUAUCUACAUUAGUUUUCAAUGGUGUUAGUUAUACUGGAGAUAAAGGUAGAAACAAGAAAGAGGCUGAACAAUUGGCAGCACGAGCCAUCAUUCUUUCAAUUUUAGGUACUUCUUUACUUUUGUCUGAAAUUAUAAAUUCUUCUGGUAAUGUGUUUCUUACGCACAUUGUUUGACUUCUUGGCCUAUUCAGACUCUGCAGAUUCUGCAUCUGCCACAGUGAUGUCUGAGAUAAUCAAAUCGAAGUCCAAGCUUUAUGCAGCAGUAAACAAAAUUAGGGAUGCUAACAGCAUUCACAGUGCAGUGAACUCUGUAAACGCAUGGGAGGACCCUGGUGUCCUGUUGAGUAAAGGAAAAGUUGCUCAAGUUGGUAAAACUGCUGCCAGCUUUCCUAGCUUGGCUGAAUCUGCCAAGACACAUGCCACACAUGUACCGUUUCAUCCAUUCAAAAAGCCAAAACUUGAAACCAGCACUGAGGUAGUUGCUCCUCCCAUUGUAUUUGUACCUCCAGUGUUAGGACAGCCUCUGCAUUCUUCAACUUCUGGGGUAAAACGGAGUCGUAAAAACAAAAAGAAGGCUAAAGUAGGAGUGCAAAUUGGUCCUCAGUAAGUAAUACUGCCCAGUUAAUCCUUCGCACUUUAUCUCUUAUAACCUUUGUAUGUGGCGACACUGUCCUCUAAGAAAUAUACAUUUAUGCUUGGUAUGUUCUUCUUUUGCAUGUAAUGAACUAAGUAGCUCCAUCUGGUGCUUAAAAUUUUUAUGUUGCCCGAGACUUCUCUGUUGCUCUACUUAAUCUACUUCGUUGACAAUCAGAAGUUGCUAAGUGUCAGGUUUAAGUUACUUGUUGAUCCUUUAUUAGAUGGGCAUAUGUCUACUUUUUGCUCCCGUGGAAUGUCUUUCAUGAGAGAAUAUAUGUUUCGCCUUGAAGCACUGCAGCCUGCUCACAUGCAUAUGGAAGUCUUUUCGUCCCUUUAAAAGAGGAAAUGACGAAAAGUUGUUCAAUUCAGCAUGCUUUUCUUCUAUUCAUUUUCUCAGGCAUGGCGGAGGGUCAUAAUAUUUUUAGAGAUCUUUGAUAAAUACUUAUGCAGCGUAAGAUUCAAAAGUUCAAGGCCUGUCAAUUCACUUAAUAGGUUUAUAACUUAAUGACUGAAUCAUUUUUCUGUCGCUGAAUGUCAGAGUUCCUUCAACAGCUAGUAUGAAGGAAAAGAAAUGAAUGGUAUUCAAUUCUGGACUAUUGAAGGCAACCUUAUGACUUGAGAUAUUGAAAAGUUAGAAAAUGAAAGUGGCAAUAGUUGCUUCGAGUGGCUUGUAAUCCAGUAUUUUGCGGCGCAAUGCCCGCAUGGAUAACUUACUCUCUUUAUGUGUUUGACAUUCUUAAUAUAUGUGAAGAUAUGAUGAUCCAAAUAUCUCAUGAUUGUCUUAUUGCAUGGGUAGACCUGUUUCUUCAGUUAUGCUCGUGGAUCUCUGAUGGAGUCAGAUCUCUAUUUUUUGUCUUCAAGUUCAUGAUAAAGUUUUGUUCGUUUAAUCAGCACAUUCUUUAUGAAUACAGGAUACCUGUUGCUGUAGGACCUCUGAAUCAGAUUCCCUCUUGUUCAGUGGCCCAAUGAGAGGCUGGCAGUGCUUCUAUUUAGGUGAGCCAAGAUUUAAGGUCUCUCAUGGAGUUGGAUAAUUCAUUCAUCAUGCUCCUCCAAUUUACUUUUUCUUGAUCUUAACUGCAGGUUUUGUUGAUGUAUGGCGCCAAAACUAGGCUUUCUCCGGUUCAACAUCGCUUGGAAGAGCUUUUUUCCUUUUCUUUACUUCGUAGUGAUAGAUCUACCUUAGUUCUCUUUCAUGUUGGGACAUGAAACUGUGUCAUGUUAGACGAACAUAAUCUGUAGAUUUGAUAUGUAAAACUGGUUUGCAGGGAAGUGGGGAUAUCAGUUAUCUCUGUGUGUAUAGGUCCUUGCAUUAAAUGGUAUGCUUUUAUGGAUUUUCUGGUUGUGUUUAAAUGGUUCAAAUACCUAUACUCUCCUCUUAUUGUUCCCCUCUUAUUCCCAGUUAAAAACAGCUCGAAAUUUUCCUGUGCUGAUUUUGACAUCCUGUGUUCGUUUCUUUGUAAUUUAACCUUUUUACUGGCCCUUUUAUGCGUUCCUGCUGCGGUCAGAAUCUUAAAUAGUUAGCUGAGAUCAUAUCAGAAAGGUAUCUGAUGAACCUGUCCACACACGCUGCGGCAUGCACAAGGAUGUCAUUAUAUGUUGAACCCGAUUGGCAAAGCUUUAUCAUUUUUCUUAUUCUUUGUAGUAAUUAUUUUUACCUAUUUUUGAGAAUGUAGUCGAGAAGCGCUCUCCAUCUUAAAAUGUGAAAAAAAAAAAGGUCAUAUUCAGUCAUGAUCGAUGCAUGCAUGUGGCUUUGACUAUUAAGGUGUUUUACACAAAUUUCGAGUCCCUCCGAAAACAAUCGGGCAUAUGAAAAGAUAUUUUCUGAAAGAACUUGGUAAUAGUAUGAGAAUUUCCCAUUUCCUCUAUGACCAUCUUCAUGUUUCUCCUGACCAAUGUCUAGAAAAAAAAGAUGACGUGACCACUUCUAAAAUAUCCAAUGGGGAUUCUUGACCUCAGAAUUUGAGGUUCUAUUAAUGCAACAAGUUCUUAGCUGUUGUUAAUAAUCAAUCACACUACUGAUGUAUAUUGUCCUUGGAUAAAAGCGAAUGUGGGUGUUGAAUGAACAUGGGGGCCUGUGACCUGUGGGAUUAUGAUAUCAGUAACCUUUUUGCCUGUCGCGUAUGGCUUGUGAUUGUGAGCACAAGAAAGAAGGAACAACGAACCUCCUUGAGACAGGGAAUUACUCUUACUCCCAUGCCAGCUUUGAUUAUUCUCGUUCCCCAUGGGAAAACAAACAUUACUCAUGUGGUUGGCAAUCUUCAUCGGGUUUGCAGAAGAUACAGUAAUACUGUACUUCCUUCCUUGCCGACUGUUGACGAUGAGUUGAGCUAAGCAAUCCAGAACCAUUAAUGCUCCACCCGGGUGUUCAUCAUAUUGCUCCAAUUAGAUCAAUCUCAUCUAUUUAUCUCCUUACCAGUAGCCCUUUCGUCCAACUGAGGAAAAAUUAAUUUUCUUCUGAAGGCUUCCACAACUAAUCUUAACUAUUAGUUGCGCAGUUGUAACCGGCGAAUUCUUGAUAUAUGCAAAUCAAGAACAACAAAAGUCUGUUUAAUUCCGCAUGGAAUGUCAAAUGAUGGUAGCUUUUGAUGUCUGAUCAGAAAACUCCAAGAAGCCAUACACCUUAGGGGAUGUACAGAUACUACUAAUAUACUGAAGUGUGUUGUUUAUUUGAAGUACAACUGUUACCCUUUGUCAAAAGAGAAGCGUUGGACUGGUGCGAUGCCAAUCAGGAGCUGGUGCCUAAAAUUUAACAAGAAAGUAAGCAAUCCAUGGCCAGCUUAACACCUAUACAGAAUGUAACAAGUAAUAUAAAAUGACCAAGAUCCACGUGCUUAUGGCUCUCUGAAGUGAAGAGGAAAGCAGGAAGGAAAGCCCCCUCGAGAAAAUUGGUAAGAGUCCAGGUUCUUGAAGGUGAGAUAUAGCUAAGUAAGAAUGGCGAGGGAAUCUUAGACGUGGGAUGGCGAAAGAUCCGCCGAUGGUUUUGCUGAUUUGCCCCUUUUAUCUUCAGUACACUUUUAAUUCUUUCUCCAUCUGGCUAGGGAGUCUUCACCUCUGCCAGCUAACAAUCCCCAUACACUGAUUGAAUAAAAAAUAUUGCAAGUUCUAUUGCAUCUAUGUACACUUAAGCCAAAGGUUUCUUGCUCCCAUGACAAUUAAUUGGACUUCUUGAGCUUCAUUCAACUAGUAUCAUUUGUUUAGGAAUUUCUGCUGAUAAAAAUAUCAGAAAAAUCACUGCUAUAUAAUAGAAGUAAGAACAAGUUUGAAUUCCCACACCUAGCAUCAGUAGUCUUCGCUGAAGCCGAGCUAGCAAGGGUACUAGCUCUUUCUGCUCAUUUCAUUUCCCUCUACCUAUGGAACUUGUCAAAGACCAUGCACCUAAAAAGUCUACUUUGUGCUUAAUUCAGCCCCAUCCACAUUAUGAAAAUGAUCAGUUUAGAGAAGUUUCACAGAAUGCUUUCCCAGGGCUUAGCAGCUCAGAUAAAUCCACAGGAGUCCCCAGGAACUUUGGUGUGACUAGCCCUUCUUCACUUUCCAGUCCAAGCAGCACGAAUUCUGAUGGAUUAGGAUAUCAACAAGGCAUAAAAACUCUGCCUGAGGAUGGGAAUUCUGUGAUCAACUUCAGAGGUGUUUAUGGUGACUUCGCAAAUGCGGGUGGAUCUUUGCUCAGUUUUGAUCAUUCUCAGAACUCUUUUCCCGGAAUAAUUACUACCCAAGAUGAUUACUCAGUUUGGGAAGACAAUUUGCACUUCACUUACCAGGACCAGCUGAAUAAUUCAAGGUGCAGUACCCCGAAUCCCCGGCCGUUGGAGAAUUCCAACAAUAACCAAUCCUCCAGCAGCUAUGCAUCCACAAGUAAUGGGGUCCCAUUUGGAUGGCAUAGCACAGAAGUCAAUGCAAAUGCCAGCAAGAAUAAUAGCAUCCAGGAUCUUGGAAGACAAGAGGCUUGCACGAGUGCUAAACGUCCCUAUACGGUAGUUUCUCAUGAUCCCAUCUAUUUAGGACAUCAAUUUUUCCUUGAGACUGAUCUCAAUUAUACUAUUGGUUAAUUAAUUACAACUCAAGUUCUAAACUUAAUCAUACAACUGAUGUUAUAUAUUGCAGGAAGAGAGCACACAAGCAUUGAAGAAGCAGUGCACAUCUGUUACAAAGACUACGGCCCUCAAAUCAAAGUCAACCCCAUCAAAGGACCCACAAAGCGUUGCAGCCAAGGUUUGCUUCUUUGUAAAGUAGAUCUAAAUUUUAAUCGAUCCAAAGGAAAUCUGCUUUUGAGUAUAAAGUUGGAAAGAAUGUUUGCGUUGCAGAAUCGGAGAGAACGUAUUAGCGAGAGGCUCAAGAUACUACAGGAUCUUGUCCCAAAUGGCUCCAAGGUAAAAGCUUUUUGCAUAUUCUCUCUACUUGUUUUACGUAAUACCAUCCGAAUCAUUUUCUCAAGUGCAUGCGCCAAUAGAAACAAAGCCCAUGCAGGAGUGAGCUUAGGAACUGUCCUUUGUUGUUUCUUUAAUGUUUUUGCAGGUUGAUUUAGUAACCAUGUUAGAAAAGGCAAUCAGUUAUGUCAAGUUUCUUCAGUUGCAAGUGAAGGUCAGUUCUGAUGAUUUGCAAUAUAUUUUGUUCAACAUGUCCCAUACUCCCCCAGCUCUGACAAAACUAGAUGGACAAUGUAUUUUUAAUUGACAAAAUUUUACAACGCACCAUGGUUUUUUUCCCAGGUUUUGGCUACAGAUGAGUUUUGGCCAGCUCAAGGUGCAAAAGCUCCCGACCUCUCUCAAGUAAAAGAAGCCAUAGACGCCAUCCUUGCAUCUCAAAGAGACAGGAACUCGAGCUCAUCAAAGUGAUAUAUAGUAGAAUCUUCAAAUUAAUUGAGGAGAAGAAGAUGAUGAAGAAAAAGCAACCAUAGAUUUGAAGAAUAACUCGUAAAUCAACUGCAAGUUUUUCUCUUCCCUGAUUCUGCAAGUAAAUGACGCGGGGAAGAAAUAAACAUUUGUCUUUUAAACCCAUGACCAUGAGCUUCUUUUUCUAAAUUCAUCUUCUUUUCAUUAGCUAAUUCGCAAUAUAUCCUGCAACCCAGUCGUAACAUAAAACUCGACUGUAAUUUGUGUCCAGUUAUAUAUACCAAGGACGACGUACUAAUGAAUCUUCUUCUUCUAGCUUCUUUUUUUUUUUUUUUUUUGGGGGGGGGGGGGUAAAUUCUUUUUUGUAAUUUCUUGUUGUCCGCAGUAACGGGUCCUCAAAAUUGUGAUUGGACAGUAGUACUAUAUCUGAAUACUGCAUUGCUUUCCUUCCAAUUUGGAGAUUGUGGAUAAAUUCUGGUAAUCGUUCUACAACAUUGACCUGUGAAGGAAAAUAGAAAUGUGUGGUUCCCUGAGCUGAAAACAUAGGGCAGGCAUGGAGAAGCGAAUAAAAAUGCGAAGGCAAAUACAGUAAUCUCAGGCAGUCAAGGAAAGUGGGAAUACAGGACUGGACGGUCAUUGACCAGAAUAUUGAUAUGUAUACUACAAAUUAAAGAAAUAGCGUCGUCUUUAUUACUAUUCCCAAGACAGGGAAAUCACAGUUCUGAAAAACAACUUCAGAGUUAUUUUUCUGAAAUGGCCUUCUUCCUAUUUUUCUUUUGCCGUUGUUCCUUAGUUUGCUAGUAUUAUUAUUCUUCUUUUCCUGAGCUAAGCCAAAAGGAAACAUAUGACACCAAGCAAAUGGAGUCCAGAGGCAUUUUGCAUCCACAGUUUGGUGAAGCAAAUAGAGAGUUAAGAUUUCUAAGAAGAUCAUUUGAUUACAAUUUUCCAGGCAAAAGAGUUUCGUACUUAACACAUCUAAUACGCCCAAGUCGGCAAAUUGAAGCUAUUCCACGAUUAACAAGUUGUUUUGCAUCAACCCUUCACCAACAGUAGGGAAUUCUGGCGACAAGUUCCAUUCUCCAUCAACCAAGAAUUUAAUUUCAUACCUUCUUGAUAUAAGAGAUGGAUCAGAGGAGGACAACAUGGAUUAAGAUCGAGAAUGCAAGCAACAUACGAGAGCAUACCUUCCAGGUCUCAGCAUCAAUGUCGUGGAGAAUUUCGUGUAAGAACCAGUGUACUCUGGUGAUAGGUGCUCAUCUUGACUCCAUCCAUCAAAGGAACCCAUUACUUGUACACUCUGACACAAAUGAAAUGUUAGUGGGUCAUUUGAUCGUUACAUUUUUAAGUAAUAUCAAAUCAAAGCCAAGUGAGGCCUUAUACCCGUGAGGAAAAUUGUUCGAUGACAUUACUAAAAUUCCCCCCCAAAACACUGGAAAAAGGUAUUUACAAUGGUGUAUUAGAGUUCAAACCCAUAAAUUGAUGAUGCAGGAGUAGUUUAAAUCAGCAUGUCUAAAGUACCCUAAAUGCAGAUUCACGAAACUCGACUCAACUUGCAAUUUUUGAGUUAUUCAGAAAGUCGUAAAUCUUCUUUCUCAAGCUAAACCUUAAUUAAGGGCGCUUAGUAUUGUAGGGCAAAUGGAUUGAGCGGCUUGUGAGCUACUUGAACUAAACUUGGCUCGAUGUUUCUCAAGCUCAAACUCAAGUUUGAGCUCGAUGAUGCACUGGAGUCAAGCGCACACAUUAUUUUAUUUUUCUCAAAGGCUAGUCAAGACUUGGUGAGCUUUAUAUAUUAUACAUCCAUAUCAUGCACAUACAUACAUAGAAUCCCCAUGGUUGUAGAUGUGUGUCUGUAUCUGGAUAACCACCCAAUAUUUCUGGCUCUGCUUUGGCUUUUUGGAUGUUGAGGAUUUUGAAUUUGAAGUUUUUUAAGGUUUAGAUUAAGGAAUUGUGUUUUAGGUUGAGGUUUUAAGAUUGUUCUUUCAGUUGGGAGUUGAGUUUGGGGGCUAGUUGUGCUUUCAGUAAUUAUCUCUUCUAAUAUUCUCAACAAAAGGCAGCACGUUUUCAAUAAUAGUAUUCCUUUAAAGGAACUAACAUAACCAUUCCUCUUUCUCAAUUUAGCGUACAGUUUUUCAAUGCAAUUUAUCUACCGAGAAAAAAUUGGAAGGGAAAAGCAAAACGGGCAGAAGUUUUUCAACAAAGUGUUUGUGGCAACAUUCAGACAGAAUGGUGUUUCAUGCAAUUGGUUAUAUAAUAGAUAAACCGUUUAGUCUUUCUACACAAGAGAGGAAAACAUGUAGAAACAAACAAUUGCAACUAGCAGGUCCAUGAAACCUCUUGAUGGUAUGAAAUUUAUGGUAAGUUCUCUCAAUGAUUAGGUGUGUAGCCAGAUUAUACAGUCCAGACAGCAUAAAAGAAACUAAAUAAGCGAAAAUCCUUACUGGCAAAAGUCAUAAUUCGAUCAGAGAAUAACACAGUUUUUUGCUAACUCACCUCUGCCACUCCAUACCAAUAUAAAGGAACCUCUUUGGAUUGAGCAGCAUCCACAUCCUAUGUCUGUUCCCUCAAUUUUUCUUGUACAGCUUUUGCAACAGCGAAAAGAUCCAUCAGAGCCACCAAAAAGAGAAAAGGAAAAAGUUUUCAAGUACAAAUAAGGAAGAUUUGCCAAGGCUUUGUCAGACACACAGAAUACUAUUGUAUUACAUAAUAGGUGAACCACUCUAACAGGCCAGAAAUCAGCUUAAUAAACAACUUAAAGCAUCUAGACACCAUUUUGCUUCCUCCAUGCUAAAGCCACAUCUUGUACAAAUCUCAGUAUUGAUAGCACAAGUGAUUCAUGCGCAAAAAGUUUGGGUUCGAGUGAAGGGGCAUCAUUCAGCCUUCACCCUUGAUAAACACAAGUCCUUUUAAUACUCAAGAUACUUCUUGUACUUCAGAAGAUCCUGAUAUUUGUUCCAUUUAAGCCUGAGCACAGGCCUGAUGACCUCCACCAAAUACUACGCGACCAGACGCGAAAAACUAGAAGGCUCCACUCAAGAAAGAAAAUAUUUAGUUUCAGACAGCAUGAGGAUAUACCUUCUAGCCUUGAAAGGAGGUGAGACUGAAUGUACCUCCCAUGUAUCUUUCUCGAACCUUCUGGAAUUUCAUAAUUAGCAAUUUCUUCAGCUAAACUGACCAAUGCCUGCAAAUCAAUAGAGAUGUAUGGUGAAUGCCAAUUAUGCUGCCAGGAAGACCAGAAUCCAAUUUCUUGGUUGAUAUCAAGCUAAUUGAGAAAAGUAACUAGCUCCCAAAUGGUCAUGUUCUAGAGAGGAAAUUGGGUUAUAAACAGAAUACCAGUUGUGAAUGUUUUAACGAUUAUUGGAAUCUAUUACCACUUUGCAACAUAGAACUCCAAUAAGGUUCCUCCUAAUGUAAGGGAAGUACUUGUUAAGAAAAUUGGAAUUGUCAUAUGAUACACUAGGAGAGCAGUUAUACUAGAGGCAAACCUGAAUCUCCAGCUCCAGAACAGCAAGUUCACUUUUAAAAUUAACCAACGAAUCCUCCUUGCUUUGCAACUGCAAGCAUUAACGCAACUAUGCCUUUACAUGAUAAAACAAUUCGGACUACUCAAAAAAAAAAAAAAAUGGGGACUACACAACAAACCUGUCGUUUCAGAACUCGAUUGUACUGAUUAGCAUCACUAAGUUUCUUGAUGAUCUUUGAUCUUUCAGAAUCAAGAAGCAAUGCGUUCAACUGAUACAGGAAUACAUAAACCUUAGCACUGUCAGAAGAAGUUCUAACUUCCAAUCAACUGCUUUCGGAGGCAUAAUUGCAUAUAAAGUGGCUUGUAUGAUGCUCAAACAUAAAUUGAAAAAAAAAUUAGCAAGUACCUUUCAAAGAAGAAAAUGCCUUGACUUGAGAACGAAGAUUACACAACUAACAUCAUUCAAAUGGAAAAACAGAAGGAGAAAAAAAAAAGGAAAUAUCUUGUAUAAUAACGACAAAACUUCUUUUACAAGUAGCCGAAAAAUAGAUAAAAUCUAGUCAAAUCAAUUAGAGAUGUAAUUCCGACAAUAAACAAAUGAUGAGCCCAGUGGAGUUUCAUGCACUAUUAAGGAGUUUAAAUAAUAAACCUUUUAUGUAUUUUCCUCUUUCAUGACUGGCCCAGGUCAGAGAAAUUUUCAGUAACGAAUAUUAAUUUGCAUUUACAAGGCCAUACUUUACAAGCAUGUCUUUCAUGGAAUAACGCCGAAGCAUGUAAGAGAGACUGAAAAGGACAGGUUAUAUUCACAGGAGGAUUUUCUCAUAUUAGAACUAACUAUCAAUUUAAAAUCAAGCUCACCUCCUCACUACUCAAAGGUUUUGGAGAAGCCUCAUCAGGCAAGUCUUCCACGUCACUCUCAUCAUCCUCUGUAAACUCCUGUGACCGCAAUGCUGAAAAUUCCUCUUCCAAACUAGCUGGCGUACAAUGUAAUUUCCAGGAUAUUUUAUUUGCUGCGUUUUGCCGAAUAGAAGCUUGAUUCAGCCUCACCAACUUCUUGAGACCUUUGUUUGAAUUCCAUCUAGGCCAAAUUACCAUGAACUCUAUCAAUACUCAUCUUAAAAUCUCUGAUUUGGCAGGCUCAAAUAGGCUAAUGCGGUUGUUUAAAAUGUGUCCUAAAAGCGAGUAGACCUCAUAUAAACACCUUCCAACAAAAAUUUAAAUAUGAAUGCUUGAGGUAGGUUACAAAAGGUGGUGCCUGCGUAGAAGAAUUCAUGAGCAUAUUUGUGGUACUGAGCAAUAUAUCUGGCAUUCACCUUGCUAAGAAUGGUCGCACUCCAGUACUUAUUAGUAUCUGGCAUUCCAUACUUCAAGAUUUUGAACUGCAAAACAGGAAUGAUUAUGGGUAGUGAUCAGAAUCAGAGUUCAACGUACUAUCUUGGCAGCAGCAGCAAAAUGAGUUGUUACGAAUUGCAAAAACAACAAGAUAACUACUUACUCCACAGUCUCGGCACCUAAAAUUGCCCAGCUUCAGAGCAAAAUAUCCAGAAUUAGACUUUACCAACUCUACACAGCUAAUAUCGGGUUUCUCAAAAAUACACCAAGCCCACAUGCAUUUUCUUUAUCAGCAACAAAAUUUGACAUUAAAACAAUCAAUCACAUGACCAACUUGGAACAAUCAUGUGCAAGGCGAAUAAGAAGUUUUACCGGAUAAAGACGUGUUUCAACUGUGGAGUUAAAUAUCCGCUCAAAUGAAGGCAAUCAGAGACGAACUAUGAGCAGGGUUCGCCGUCAAACUAGCAGUAGAAAAGCCUCCUUGUCGAAAACUAGCAGGGCAGAUAGAGACCCGUAAAUCAGGCCAUUUAUCAAGAAGAUGGAGAGAAUUCAAGAUUUCAAUCAAUCAAAAACCCAUAAUUAAAAUGACUUGCUGGGACACGACACGACUAGCGAGUUGAGCUGGAAUCCAUAAUCAAACCGAGGCCGCACAAAUCACAAAAGAAACAGAAAUUGGCACAAUCAUCACUGUAUAGGUGUUGGACAGAUCAUUGCCACCACGUGUAAAGUUAGAUGGGCUAGGAUUUUUUAUUUUUAUUUUGGGUUUUUGGUUGUAGUUUUCAUUUCCUUGGAGGCCCAGCUUGACGCAGGCCUAUCUUUUAAACAACUUGGUGGUGGUGAGUUGAGUUCGAAGGAGUCCAACUCAACUUGGUAUGUCAUUUUGUUUUGUGGCAUCAUCAGUCAUCCGGCUUCAAAUCCUCUCCUUAAAACUUAUUAAAUAGGCUAGAAAUAGUUAAUCCCUGCUUUAAUUUUGCCUGACCCAUGCAUUUAAAUAGAUACAUUUUGGUGAAAUUAUUCUUUUCUCUCACGUUGCACUCCCAAUAAUCGAAGGUUUUGUAAGUUAUUCCCCAGUAUCAAUAGUGAUGACAUGAGUGCCAGAUGAACAAUUAUUUAUUAAGUACCAGUUCAAAAUAUAUAAUUGUUUCAAAGAAAUUAACAACACAAAGUUCGGUCCAUGUUUUCUUGUUUCAAGGGUCUUAUCAUCAAGUAUCUAAGGAUAAUUAAGACGAAGUUAGCACUUUAAAUGGGACUACUAGGCUCUUUAGAUCUAGGAGGAUUACUUGUCUAAGGUUAAUUAAACCCACUAAAUCUAGCCAGUUUGUCGACCAAAUACUCCCUCCAUCCCACUUUGAUAGUCCUCUAUUCCUUUUUCAUCUGUCCCAAAUUAUAGUCCACUUUUCAAUUGAAGAAUGUAGCUGUAUUUUAAUUUUUUUAAAAUACCCUUAUUCAAUUUAAGUAGUUAUUACUAUAAACCUACCCUAUUUAAUGAGAGUUGAUUCUUUUUUUACCAUCAAUUCAAGUUCCCAUAAAGUUGUACUCUAAUUAAUGUGAGGGUAUUUUAGAAAAAUAGCAAUCUAAAUUUACUUUUCCAACAAAGUUAACUAUUUUUUCUUAAACUGUGUGAAAAAAGAAGCGGGACUAUCAAAGUGGGACGGAGGGAGUAAUUUCGUUUCUGUCUUUCUCCUUGACAAGAUUUUUUUUCAACGUAACCUGCUGGUUUGCCGAAUCAACAUGAAUUUUUCAACCUUCUUUAAACCAAAUCUGUUGGACUCUGUCGUGCCAAAUUAGUUGGCCUUUCCAUGUUAAGGAAAUCCUUGUUCUUAACAAUUGACUACGACCAUAUUUUCUAAAUCCAAAUCGCUACAACUAACACAAUUGCUUUGGAUUCGCAAAGUGUAUUGGAAUAAGAUUUUUUGACAUGGCAAAACGUCCGUGUAAAAUAUAUUCCAUCCUCAUUUUUUUGACAAGAAAUAAUUUUCAAUUGACGAUCAGAAUGUACAUUCAACUGACUCUUAAAUCCUACCAGAAUUAAAUAGCAGCGUGGGGAGUAUAAUAUGGGGGAAAAAAAAUUUAAGAAUAAGAACUUUUGUUUUUGGUCUCUCGUUUUGAACUGUCAAAUGCAUGGAUCCACAAGGACUCUCUCAAUUCUCUGGGACUUGCAAAAGUUUUAGGUUUAUCGACCUAAAAGUUACCAACCAAAACCAGAAAGCUGUUUAUUAGUAUUAACCAAUAUAAAGGACUAAAAGCACAUAUGACUGUAUAGCACUAAAAGUAAUACUACUUCCUAUAGUUUGCCUUCUUGACUUGAAGUUAAGAUGUAGUUGAUCAACCAUAAGUCAGGACACCAUUAAAUUCUGUCUGUAGGAAACAGUUACAUGGAAAACUACGGUGCUCAUUCGGGUCAAUCUUGCCGACCCUCUAAUUCAACCAUGGAUCAGACAUAUACAUGAAAUAAAAAGGUGAUUGAAAAAUUGCUAUAUUUUUUAUAAACAAAUUUUUCAUUUUAUCUCACAUAUGUUAGAUUACUACAGUGAUUUUUCUAUAAAAAAAAAAAUUUAGAAAAAUACAAUCCGAACGAGCAACGCAAAUUCACUAUAACUAAUGCUAAAGCAAAUGUGAAACAAACCAAGCUAACAUCGCCUUGCCUUAAGCUCGCCAUCAUCUAGUGCUAUUUCAGUAAACGUCUGCCCGGACUGGCGUCAUUAUCCAAUCAGUCUACAUGUCAAUAACGGGUUCUGUAGUUCUCCUUUUCUAAAAAUCAAAAUGAGGACCCCUUAGUAUCAUUAUUCUUGAUUGGCUAAAACAAAUUCAAAGAAUUCAAGAUGAAGGCGGGGACGGAGAUUUUCCUGCAAAGUAGGCGGAUGAACGUCUUGAAUUGCUUGCUUCUUAAUUCUUCUUCACUCAGUGCUCAAUUUCAAAAUCAAAUAAUCACUCCUCCGUCAUUCUUGUUGCAUUUAAAAGAGGGUUUGAAGCAGAAAGUCGACAAGAUCAUCCGCUGGUCUGGAACUUUUGUCAAUGGAUGACGUCAUCGGAGACCAAUUUCUGAAUGGUCAACUUUUUUUUUAUGUAUACCAAACCCAUUCAAGGCUCGUUCCAUCAAAUAUCAACCGAACUGAAAGAGGCCUCUAAUUAGUUUGUCGUUUUUAAGUGAAUUUCUUUAGAGUGCGCGCGAUAUCAGAAUCAGAGCCGUCACCACUCAGCAGCAGCCGCCGUGCAAACCUAAUUAGGUCCCUCAGGAUUUUAAAAUCAACUUACGAUUGAAGUACACACACCUGCUCCUUAUAGAUUGACGCAGUUUAAAGUUUUAAAACCUCGGACUCCAUUUGGAUUAGUUAUUUUUUUAAGAUAUUUUUUAAAAAUUUUACUAUAGCAGUCAGUAUAUAUGAAAAUUUUUUUGAAGUAUUUGAUAUAUUGUAUGGAUGAGGUGUUUUUUUUUUUUACACCCCAUUAUUCAAUCUAGGAUCGGAGGAUUUCAUUGGUGUAACUCAGCCACCUCUUCGAUUCCAGAGAGUUGUCUGACCCUGAGGAGGUUAAAGAACGUCAUAGGCCUGUUAUUAACUGUGUGUUUUUUUGGUAGUGUGUUUUUCCGAAUACGACGAUUAUUCAAAAGUCGCCAGUUUGGUGUUUUAGCUUCUCUCCCACUAAAUUGCUAAAAUGACGCACAUUUUAUUUAUUUAUCCCUUGACUACACAAGGAUACUUCUUCUUUACUGGUAUUAAUUAAUUGACUAUGCCUCGACUUGAGGAGAUCCAAUCUUCUGUCGGAGCUCGCAAGUGCUUGGGCGGAAUUAUUAAUUUGAUGCACCAUCUUCUGUUUGUCAGCACCUAAUCAAUUCCCACUUGUUCUGACGAUUUCAGAUUAUGAAAAUCUCAGAUUCAUCCCUUUUUUUUUUUCUUUCAAAGCCCAAAGGACUUACGUCAGUUUUUACAAAUCUAAACCCCGAGGGAACCCAAAAGCCUCAGAUUCAUCCCUAAUUGAUGCAUUAUUUGUUCUUUCAUUUAUGUUACAUGAUUGGAUUUAUUAUCGACAUUAUUAGUACAGAGUCUCUCUCUCUCUCUCUUAUUAUGAUGGAACCCACUAAUUGACUCGGUUGUCUUUUCAGUUAAAAAAAAAAAAAACCGUAUUAUUGGAAAGCAUUAAGCUUAAACUCGUUAGAUUAACAGUCAACGAGUUGCAAGGCAGCUUUAUGGUUAGACAGAUAUUUGUUUGGUGGAAAACCCAUCCUCCAACUCCAACCCGAAGAGGAGGAAGAAUAACUGUGAACAAGAAAAGCCACAUGCCACCACCAGGCAAGGAAUAAUAAGCAUCUACCCCAGGCAUUAUGUGGUGAGGGCAACAUAGAACCUGUUGACUAAUAAGGACUGCAACGUCGGACUGACUCUCAAGUGUGGGAAGGAUGAGGGGUCAGCCAACCGCUCUCAAGCCUGGUCAAAGGUUGAAAGGACCGCCCCCUACGAGCGAUCGCCGCCGGCCGGUUUUUCUUACCUCUUCUCUUCUGUCAUCUCUCCAAAAUCGAUACAGAAACCCACCAUAAAUUAUUUACCAAAAAUCAUGUGUUUGAGUCAUAACAUUGUUGACGCGAGAACCGUAUUAGCGAAUGAUUUGUAAAAUCAUUGUUAGAGAGAUCUAUUAUGAUUCUGAUUUAUAAUAAUAAUAAUAAUAAUAAUAAUCGGAGCAAAACUCACUCAAACUACUUUUAUUAUCGAAAUUGCAAUUUGCACUCAUCUUUAAUAGAGUAAUAUUUAUCACCAUAUAUGCAUACAAAAGGGAUAAAAAUACUCUCUAUUUAGUUCCCCUAAAUUUACCAGGUUUUCAAAGAAUUACCCAUACAAAUGGACGUCAAGAGGGGCAGUGGAAAUAUGUCAAUUACUACUCCCAGUCCCAGCAUUAAUCAUGCAACAAAAGUCGACGCAAAAUUUUCUUUGGAUCCUCAAUUUUCUACCACCCCACUUUUCAGUGUCUAGUCAACGCUACAGUGCAUUCUAGAAUUGGCUUCCCCCAGGUCCAGCCCAUAGUGCGAAGAUGUCAUGAAUGCGAGACGCGCGUGAUGCUCAUUCCUCAUUGAAACAGAGCAAUUAAUUGUUCACUAUUAAAUGCGGUUACAAGAAUAUUCAGACCUUAACAAAAAUAAAAAGAUCUUGAUUUUGUAUUGGUCCCUGCGGCCUACUAAAGUUCCUCUCGCUAACACAUUACUUACAUUAGCCCUACGAAUCAAUUAUCCCAUCUCUCUUUUUCUCAGUACUCUCUCUCUCUCUCUCUCCCUCCCUUCAAUUUCAAGCUGAUCCCGAUUUUCCCUUGUCUUCCACGAUCAAUCAAGUCUGAUCAUCUUUUUUUUUUCCCCUAUUGAUUCAUUUUAGUAGUAGUUUCCUGGCUUAUGCAACGGAAAAGAUGGAGAACUUACUGGGACUUUUGAGAAUUCAUGUCAUCCGAGGUGUUAACCUUGCCAUAAGAGACGUUAGAAGCAGCGAUCCUUAUAUUAUCGUCAGGAUGGGCAAACAGGUCAGUAGCAUUAACUAGUAAUCUCUCCGUUACAACUUUUUUAGCUUAUAUUUCAUUGACUUUUUGUCUUGCUUGACGUGCUUUCCAAUGUUUCUAGUGUUUUCCAGUCAUAUCAUUCCUAGGAUAUCUCGAACUCUUCUCCGAUUACUUCCUUCAAGUGUGAGAUUUGCAUUGUAUUCGAUUUAAAAUGAAAAAAUCCCGGUACUUCUUGAGGUUCAGCUUUUGAAAUUUUAGCAAUAUUUCAACUCCUUAAUAAACUCACUCGUAACUGAGACGUUCACCGGGGGUGUUGGCUUCUGGUUUGUAUAUGCUUGCCUAACUCUUAGCAAUUGGAAAAUGGCCCAGAAAGAUCGGUUGUUCAAACUUCAAAUAUUGGUGUUAGUUACCUGGCCAGCUAGUUGUACGAUUCGUCUCUGUUGUUGGAAUUAGAGUUGCCAAAACGCCGAAAUCAUAUCUAAAAGAGAAGGAAAAAGUCGAAAUCUUGUAAUGGGCUCGUCUGUAGUGUAACGGAGGUGACAAAUUAAUUGUAAAUUCAAGAGGUUGACUGCCAUUUGUGUGUGUGUGUGUGUGUGUGUGUGUGUUUUUUUUUGGCUUUGAGGGGGGGGGGGAUUUGGGUAGUGCGGGUGGGGGUGUUACUACUACUUGUGGUCCUCUUUGAGCACUGAGGGUGUUUAAUUUCUUGACAAAAGGAAGCAGACCAGCUGUAUAUGAGGACUAAAUUUCUGGAUAUGACUUUCAGUCUAUAUAAUAGAUUAUUAUUUCAACUUACAAGUAGGUCGAACUUUCUACUGAUUUUUUCUGAACUGUAUAUGUGAAGCAGAAAUUGAAGACGCGUGUGGUGAAGAAAAAUGUAAAUCCUGAGUGGAAUGAAGACCUUACACUAUCAAUUGCAGAUCCAAGCAUCCCAAUCAAGCUAGUAAGUUUCAUACUUUUUUAUAAGUAUGUUAUAGUGGUGCUUUUUGAGUAAGGUGCAGUUAUGAACUGUAAAGUUUUUUGCCUUUUAGGGAAUUGAGAAACAUAUUAUUAGGUUGGUUCUCGACACUAAAUGAAUUGUAUGAGGAGAGUUGUUGCACCACUGAUGCUCAAGUAGGAACGAAGUCUUCUGUUUGAAAAUAACUGAUGUUUUUUUAGUGUUUGCAGUCGUCGAAAAGUUUGCGAAGGCUGAAAAAUGAAAUCUACAUUAUGUUCUGUGAAGGAUUAAGGCAUAUUGACCGUUGAUUGAUUCUAUCCCCGUUUGCAUAGCUCCAAUUAGAUAAUUGGGUUCCUGUCAUCUGGGUGGUCAAGGUCCAAAUUUAUGCUGAUGCAUUAUUAUUUACUUAAUUUUCUUACCAUGUUGAAGCUAAUUCAAUCAGCAUAGAUACUUAGCCUCACUCUUAAUGGUGUGCGAUGCAGCAAGUUUUUGACAAGGAUACAUUCAGUUUUGAUGACAAAAUGGGAGAUGCAGAGUUUGACAUUGGACCGUUCAUUGAGGCUGUGAGGAUGCGGUUAGAGAACAUCCCCAGUGGAACUGUUAUCACCAAUGUAAAACCAAGUAGGCAAAAUUGCCUUGCUGAAGACAGCAAUAUUGUUUGGGAAAAUGGAAAGGUUAAGCAGCAUAUGUUUCUUAGACUGCGAAAUGUUGAGCGCGGUGAAGUUGAGCUUCAGUUGGAGUGGAUAGAUAUUCCUGGCUCCAUGGGUCCGUAAUUAAUUGCCUGGCUAUGUCACAUCCCGUGGUGUACAGUCAAGAGUUGUGGUGCCGUAAAAUGAUGCAAAAAUAAGGUCUUCAUUUUACUCCUUUUGUUCAUUCGCUUUUGCAAAAUGGAGCCAGAAAAUUUUGUGAUAUAUACCUGGUAUUUUAUGAUUUUAAUGAAGUAUGUGAGAAAGCAAUACCAUUGAAAGCUUGUAUGCGAAUUACAAUACUUGGGAUCCUCGGUGACAUUUUUUUUAUGCCAAUCCAAUGCCACCUAUAGUAUUGCGCCAAGUGUCCCGUUAUUAUUUACACUUUAAUUUUCUAAUAAUUCAACUUGGUUUGGUUUAACAUAAGGGUUCGUUUGAUUUCCCAUAGAAUUGGGGUUUAGAAUUGAAAUUGGGGUCCCAAUUCCAAUUCUUCAGUUUGGACACCGGCAAUGCCAGAGAAUUAGAAUUCAAUUCGAAUUCUAUGGGCCAUCAAUUCCACAAAUUCAAUUCUUUGGUAAGACCUAAGAAUCACAAUUCCAAUUCCAUAAUUUCAUCUUCUAUUCGGGUUGGUACGCGGAUCCUAAGUGGAUUAAAUCAAUAAAACGGAUCUCCAUAUAAUUAACAAAAACAAAAUUGAAAAUGAAAGUCCUCCCCCCCUCUCUCUCUCUCUCGUCACAGGCCAACCACCGUUUCUUUGUAGCUCUUUCUUCUCCGCAUCUUCCUUCUCCGCCUCCUCAGUCCUCCCAUACUUCCUCCUCUGCCACCACCUAUACUUCCAUCUCUGACGCCUUGUCUCUCCUCUUACUCAUCUUCCUCCUCUGCCUUUUCCCAGCAUUGAACAUCUACUUUCAUUUACGCUGUUUGGGAAGACGAUACAGCUGCCGGAGGCUCCGUCUGCUGCGGUGGCUGCUUCCACAGCUCCAUCUAAUAAUAUUUCCACUGAUGAUACUUUAGUUCAAGAUCGUCCUUCUUCGCCGAAUUCUUAACCUGAAGACAGCAGCAAUCCGGAUAGAAGUGGAGCGGAGGAAGAAUCCGACAAGGUUCCUACUUGAUUACUUCUUUAUGUCGUAAAUGACCCAUUACUUGAAUUUGUGAAAGGAAUGAUGGGUUCCAUCUUCGUUUUCAGAUGUUUUGGGUAUGCAGUAUACAGUUGACUUUUCGCGACCUUCUUUUAUCUUUUGUUUAGCUUCUAAUUUGGGGUUUUUGGAUAAUAUGAUUCAAUUUGAGAAUUUUAUUGACUUUUCCGGUAAGCAGGUAUAUUUUGUAUUGGGGAAACUCGUCAAUUUGAUACCAUCUUCUUCAUGUUUCUAGUGGUAUGAGCUGGGAUUGAAUUGACGUGUUUAUCUGUAUGAGCUGUUAGAAUUUGAAGCUCCAAGCCCUUUAGAUGGAAAGCAGAUGAACUAAGAAGUUCUGAGUAGGAAUUAUGUGUAGGAUCAUUUAUUUUCAUUGGUUAAUCGUAUUAUACGAGAAAUAAUUAGAUAAACAUAGUGAAAAUAAUUUCGACUCUAACAUUUAUCUCCUCUGAGAACAGGAUCUCCUGGAACCUGAUGCAGCCCAUGCGGUCAAAAUGUUGUUGCCCGACUAUGUUAACGGGGACUUGUCAGCCCUGUGUGUAUGGCCUGAUCAAGUGAGGCAUUGGCACAAUUUCUCUCUCUCUUGUUCAAUUAGUUUAGUGUUCAUGUUGCCACUGUAUUUGAUAGUUGUGAAUAUCUAACGCAAUUUGUUGCUUCUGUUUCAUUUUACUCUCUCAGCCAAUGCAUGUAGGCUUUACAAGUGAUGAAGGAGGAAACACCAUAAAUUUGCGCUGGUUUAGGCACAAAUCCAAUCUGCACCAUGUGAGUAUUGACAUCGAUCUAACCUGUCAUGAAAUCACAAAUUUGGGAGAUAACUGUCACGUAUUAUUCACAUCUAUGCAUAUAGGUCUGGGACAGAGAGAUUAUUCUUACGGCUGCUGCAGAUUACUACGGGAAGGAAGUCGACCUCCUUGAGCAAGACAUAGAAAGUAACUUUACAGAUGUAAGUAUCUAAAUAAACUGGAUUGUAUCCUACUUGUAACACAUAAUUUGGGAGCUUGGUUAACAUAUUGAGCAUGGCUUUUCUUGCCUGUUACAUUCAUAGUCUUUAGGGCCACUUUUUCCAUUAACUAAAUUUAUAGAUUGCUUCAUGGAACAGGGAAUCUGGUCUGACGAUCUUGACUCCUGGAGGGACUGCAGUGAUCUCCAUACCUGUGUAACCAAGUGAGCUUUCUCCCUGAAUCUCUUUUAGGCAAGCCAAGAAAAUGAUCUAGUGAGAAGAAGGCACUCUGCUUCUACUCUCUGGUGCCAAAAUUUAGACGUAGGCUUUAAUUGUUGACGGAUGUUUUUCCUCAUAAACACAGGUAUGCAGCAGAAAGCAUCAAUAUUGCUUGCAAAUGGGGUUACAAGGGAGUUGAGGCUGGAGAGACUCUCUCUGGUAUUACAAAUAAUUUGAUCCUCUAAUAAUCCAAAACUAAAGUUCCAUUUCAUCUGUUGUUAUUGCUUGUUAAGCCAAAAGAAUAAUGCUUUGGCUUCUUUGAUUACAGACGAUUACUUCAACUCUAGACUGCCCCUUACUUGGAUGAAGUUGAUGCUGAGGUGCGAAGAGUACAACAUGAGGUUGAUGAUGAAGAUGAAAUGGAAGAUGAAGAUGAGGAAAAUGGAAUGGAAGAUGAUGGUCCAAAUAAUGAUGGUGGUGUAAAUGCUGUUAACGAGAAUCGAAUUCGAACAGUACAACCAACUAGCGAGUGGACACAAUUUAGGAAUGCUUUAGCACGAGCAAUGUUUAUUGACUAUCAAAUUAGACAAGGCCAUCAUGGAAGUUGAAAUUUGAUAGGAAUUUAUUCGAACUUAAUUUCAUAUUAGAAUGGCCAUUUAUUGAAAAAUAGUAGCAAUGUAUAAUUGUGCUUUUUUUUUCUUUUUUUUUUGGCUAAAAACACUUUGUUUGCGUAUUCCUCUAUUUCUUGUAUUCCUAUAUUGAAAUUUCUUGUAAGAUACAAAACUCAAAUAUUUAUAAUAGGUACAAGUUAUGACUUUCCUCCCAAUUCAUAUCAUAGAGUAGGCUUUUGAUUUUCUAAAAUUUAAAGUUCUUAACUUUAAAAACGUAUCAAGGUUUUAACUCGAUAAAUAUUAACUACUUUUUAAGUUAGAAUAUACAAUUAUUUUUUAUUUAAUUUAAUUUAAUUUUUUUUAAAAAAAGAAUUUUUUAUUUUUGCAAAAAAGGAACUAAUUUUUUUUCUUUUAAAGCUUUAUUAACAAUUAGUUAAAUGCAAGAAAAAAUAAAUUAUUAAAGGUACUAAUUGGUUUUUUCCUUAAAGCUUUAGUAACAAUUAGCUAAAUGUUAAAAAAUUAUUAUAUAGUAAAAAAAAGAAAUUUUUAAAAAAGAAAUUUUUUAUGUAAGGAAAUAUUAGUUGGAAACAAUUCUAAUUCCUAAUGAAUUCUUCUCUCAUACAAACAAAGAAUUUGGAAUUUCAAAUAAAUUCCGUAUCAAUUCUAUGCAUUUCCCAAACGAAAGAAUUGAAAUGACUUGGAAUUUCAAUUCAUAGAAUUCCAAUUCUAUAGAAUUUCAAUUCUAAUUCAAUUCUAAUUCUGUAGAACCAAACGUACCCUAAGUGUAAAUAAUAACAAGACAUUUGGCACAAUAUUAUAGGUGGCAUUGGGUUGGCAUAGAAAACAUGUCACCGAAGAUCUCAAGUGGAAUUACAGCCCAUUUAUGAAUUAAUCCAUCCGUAUUACUAGAAACUUUGCAUUCGCCACGUGCUGAGGCCUUGUUUGGAAAGCAAUUAAAUUGCUACGUUUUUCGUGAAUAUAUUUUUCAAUAAUUUUUUUAUCUCAUAUAUAUAUAUAUCAAAUUGUUAUAAUAAUUUUUUUACAAAAAAAUCUAGAAAAAUGCAAUCCAAACGUAACGUAAGAAACUGGGAAUCAAUUGGUUCGAAUUUACAAGGCUGUGUUGUUUUGUUGCCCUCACUUGCUUGUUUAUUAAAUUAACUUUUGUAUAUAUUGGGCUUCUCUCCUCACCUGCAUUUCUGCUUUCUAGGGGGGCUUUACUUUUGUGCUAGAUGGGCAGCCGAUUAAAAGGACGCUAGUUUCGUUGCUAGUCGGAUUAGGGCCUUCUUUGACCAGAAAAACGAUGCUACAAAGCAUAUGUCAUGGUCAGUCGGGUAGCUUAAUUUAUUUGAAAGAUAAACUGAAGGCGUGCAGUCAGCUCAGGGGAACAUAUUGAUGUCGUGAUCAAUAGUUCACGUUUUAAGGUCCACCUGCGUUGCGUGGCGCCGGGCAUCUGGGGGCUCAGAUAGGACACUUGGCGGAGUUUUAUUAGUUCAUGCCAUCACCAUCCCUCCUCCAUCCUCAAUUUUACAGACAAGACAUCGUACAUUUGUUUUAUAGGUAGCUUUGACAACGAAAUGGUGCUUUUAGACUGGUUCUCUGAACUGACCAAUUAAUAUGAUGAGAUUUUUACAGAAUCAAUCGCAAUAUAAUGGCAAACUAGGAGAGGAUCACCGCACGAUGCGCGGUGGUUAAUUGUAGAGUUUGCCCGGUGGUUCCCAGUAACAUGUAAUGAAAGAUAAAAACAAUAAAAUAAAUAACAUAAAAAAGUUACAUUAAAAUUGGCUCUAUGAAUGUAAAUUUCAAUCUUUUUCAAAGGAAAUAAGACAUAGAACUAAAGUUAACAUUGAUCCAAAAGUACAUUAAUAAUAUAAAUUUCAAUAAUGUUCGGAUGGAAUGUUUUUUAAAUUAUAGUGUAUUACUGUAAUAUUAUAUUUGAAAAAUUUGUUUUUGAAUGAAUGUUUGAUUAUUAAUUUUACGGGAAAAGAGAUUUACAAAGGAUGAAUCAUUGCUGAUAAUGACAAGAAAAUAAGGAGCUGAACAAGGGAAAGAAUCCCAUAACAAUAAACUUAAAAAUAAACAUAUGGAAAAAAAUAUCAUGAUAGCAUCCAUGGAAAUGCAUAAUUGAGUUUUCUCUUCAUCGUUUUGCUUUAUUCACCUCUUAUUGAUUCUAACGAGAAGAGUUUUGAGAGAAUUAUCGGUGGAGAAUGGAAGAGGAGCAAUUUUGAUCGGAAAAGAGAAAAGAAAGGAAGUGGUUCCUCGAGGCACUCGAGUAGACAGGUGAGCCGUCGAUUUCUAAUGGAAGCAGAAGGACACCAGAUGACAUAAGCACAGCAACUCUUUUGUUAGUUUCCAAAAUAGUCCUCAAGUAGUUAUGUUGGAGCAAGAAAUAGAACAAACAUAGCAGAAGCAUUUGAAUUUUAGCAAGGGUGCAUGAGUCAUUUAAAAAAUUUAUGAGUAAAAAUAAUUUUUUUCCUAAGACAUUUUUUUCCUUUCAUUUUUUCCUGCCAAGUCAAAAGAAAAGAAACAGAGGCUCUGGAAAAAAAAAAAAAAAAAAAAAAAAAGGGAGUGAGAAGACCACCAUCACCUCACAUGCAAGGGAGGUGGUGUGGGAGGACGUCCAAACAAAGUGGGAAAUCCACAAGCCACUUUUACUAUAAGCACUUAAUUGCAAAAGAUAUUAAUUAAUUGCAAAGAAAGGUAAUUAAAGCUAGUUGCUGAGCAACCGCAUGCCAAAAAAUACCCAAAAAAAUUAACAAUUGAUUGCAAAAGUUGGUAAUCAGAUAUGGUUCAUUUGGCAACCCGAAAAAAAGUGUUAAUAAUUGCAAAAAACUAGUAAUUAAAUGUGAUUUAUUAGGCAGUAGAAACUGAAAUUGUUAAUUAAUUAAUUAACAAUUAAUUGCAAAAAAUUUGAUAAUUAAACGUAAUUUGUUAGACAACCCAAAAUAAAAGAGGACACUUUUUGAUAACAUUUGAAAAAAAUAGAUAAUUAAAUGUAUUUUUUGUGCAACCACAAAAAAGAAGCCAAUUUUUUAAUAAUUGUAAAAAAUUGUUAAUUAAACAUGAUUUGUUAGACGACAAAAAAAUGGCAUUAUUAAUUAGUUAAUAACAAUUAAUUGUGAACAAUUGAUAAUUAGAUCUGAUUUGUUGGACAACAAGAAAAAAAUGGAUAAUUACAUAUGAUUUUCUGGGCAACCACAAAAAAGAAGUCAAUUUUUUUAAUAAUUAAAAAAUUGUUAAUUAAAGGUGAUUUGUUGGAUGACCAAAAACAUGAUAUUAUUAAUUAGUUAUUAACAAUUAAUUGCAGAGAAUUGGUAAUUAGAGGUGAUUUGGUGGACAACAACAAAAAAAAGGAGGCCAAAUUUUAGCACAAUCCAAUUACCACCUCUCAUCCAAUCAAAACUCGCCACAUCACUGUUUUCAUAUGCAAUUAGGAGGACUAUCACCAAUUGACCAAUCACAAGGCGACACCUCUUCAACUUGGAAUCAAUUGGACUACCACCAAUUAGCCAAUGAAGCGGCGCCACCUCAGUAAUUGGACUACCACCUCAGUAAUUGAACUCAAUUGGAAAGUCUUGCAUUCCCCGAUAGACUAGAUAUAUUAAAGAGCAAAUACCACUGUUGCCUAAUCUCCUAUUCUAAUUAGGACAAAAUGCAGCAGAUAAUAUAUCUUUUUUUUAUUAUUAUUUUAUCAUCAUUCUCCUCAAAAGAUUCCAAGCGCGGCUAAUGGGCUCAUCAAAGUAAUCAGAGUGUUACAUUUAUCGCGAUCGAUAUGCUGAAGAAUUGGAACAUUUAGAGCGUAAAAUUGGAUAUCCUAGUCUAGGCAUGGCCACGGUUCCAGAACCGCCGGUUCUGGUUCUUCAAAGAGGUAGAACCAGAACCGCACCAUAUAAGAUGGUUCUGGUUCUGGUUCCAGAACCGGCGGUUCUGGUUCUUCAAAGAGGUAGAACCAGAACCGCAUAGUUCUGAUUUCGAUUCCUUAUGAUUCCGGUUCCGAUUCCGGUUCCGGUUCCGUAUGGUUGUUUCUUUCUUCCGUUGAGAGCCCGAGGACCUCUAUGCAAGUCAGGAGCCCCCGAGAGCAAAAAUUGAAGAAGCUCCAUUUUUCUCUUCGAAUACAAGCUUUUUCUUCCGAGCCCUUCUUUGCAAAUUUUUCCUCUUGGAUCCGUUGAGAGCUUGGUCAAAAGGUUGUGGUGGAUCAUGAUGAUCAUCAUGAUGUCUCUACUUUUAUUAUUUUUUAUAUUAAUUAUUUUUAAUUUUUUUAACGGUUCUGGAACCGGCGGUUCUGGUUCUGGUUCUAUUUUUUAGAGAACCAGAACCGGAACCUUUAUCCAAGGUUCUACUACGAUUCUGGUUCCACGGUUCUGGUUCCGGUUCUGGUCCGGUUCCAAACGGUUCGGUUCCGGUCCGGUUCCCGGUUCCAAAUGGAACCAUGGCCAUGCCUAUCCUAGUCAAGUGGUUAAGCGACUACCCCUUUUCUGUUUGGAUAUCCUAGUCAAGUUUAAAUUUUAUUGGCCAAAAUUUUCUUAAUUGAUGGGCGGAUGAUAAUGUUUGAAAUUUAUAAUGAACCUACCUCUUAUAUUUUGUAUGCUUGAAUCUUUUUAAAACUGCUUCAAAUACCUCAGUUGAGGUAGAGAUUUUAGUAUUCAUUUCCCUUUUGCCUUUAUACUAAACAGAUUGAUAGGUGUUAAAUCAUCAAAAUUAAAAUUCCUACUCUAAAAACUGAAAUUCGAGUAUUGCGAUCAGUAGGGUUGUCUCCUCAUACACUGAAUGAUUUAUUUCUUUCUAAACAAUAAUUAAAUGGGGGUUUUGAAAAAUUAAAAUAAAAAAUCAAUUUAACUAAAAGCAAUCAAACGAAAGAAAAUUUAAAUUAAUUCAAUAAUAAGCAAACUCCACCCAAAGAGAAAACUUUAAAAGUGGUUUAUACAACUGUUCAUUAAUGCAAUAAUAAUCUUAUUUAUUUGUUAAUAAAUAGGUUAUAAUUACCAAACACGCAAUAAUAAUAAGCUUUUCCUUACCGUAUGAUAGUUAAGGUAUAUCUGUUAACUAUUUCUCUAAUCAAAAAAUAACUCUAAGUACGCCCGUAAAAUUUUAUUUCUUGAUUGCAUUAAAAAUUAGAAAAAUACACUAUUAAGUUUUAUUAAAUACAUUAUUAGAAAAAUACACUAUUAGAAAAAUGAUAUUCUAAUCAAUAAAUACAAAAUUAAGAUUUAUUUAAAUUAGAGCAUAUGUCUCCUUAAUAUGAAACCAAUCAUACUAGUCGUCACUAAUUUAAAACAAUUAAACAAGUACAAAUUUAACUGUCAUAACUGACAUUAGAUUGUUAGAUUGAAUUAAAUAUCAGGAGUCCAUAAUAUUCAAACAACAAAAUAACCAUGAGAAAUUAAACAAAAAAACAUAAAAAUGUUAACGAAUAAAAGAAAUUAAUAAAAACAAUUAGAUUUCACAGUUGUAGUUACAACUGAAUCAAAUUCUUUGUUUUUCCUUGAUUAGAAAAGAAAAUUUAGCUACUCCCCAUUGAAAGUAAACCACAAAUUUUAUUGAUUAAUAUAACCUCCAUGGUCGACAAUCGGCAAACAAAAGAAAAAGACAAGUGAAGAGACGGCCGCCUCCCGUUUGCUUCUCCUGGUGCCGAGACUGUCCGUUAGCCAAAAACUCUCAGACAAAACAAAAGUCUUUGCCCUUCCAAAAUACUAAUGGUCAACUGUGCCCCCUUCUAUUUUGUAGCUUUCUAAGUAAAAUAUACUUCCUAAUUUAUCUCAGAAAAAGAUAUCCCCAGAUUGAUAACAGAUAAUUUAAAUCGUUUCCCAAUAUAAUUUGAAAACAUGUUUCGUACGUCUUUAAUUUGAACUGAAAAAUCGUCACGCGCGUAAAUCUCAGUUUUUUUCAGACUUGCAAGCUAACUUUAGACGUGAACAUACGGAACGGGUUAAAAAUGUUUUUUAAACCACUUUGUACUUCUUUUCUUGUCAAAUUCUUACAAUCAGUAUCAAUUGCCAAAUAUGAAUAGAAUCCGUUCAAUAAUGCAAUAUUUGACAAAUAUUGAGGGAAAAUAUUCACAAAUUUAACCCAUUUAUGCAUCUGAUCAAUUUUUCUCACAUUCAAGUCAUGUUUGUUCGCAAGUAUGAAAACAACUAAUCAAAAUUGAAUUGAAACAACGACUAUCGUCCCAAAUCACUUAUCAUCAAAAUAUAAUUAAACACACGUCAAGUAUUAGUGGCUAAUUUCUAAGAAAUAUCUCUUCGAUUGACUUUUAAAAUCAAUGACUCUUUCAAUUUUUGAUUAACUAAUCUAAAAAUAUAAAAUAUUCAAUCAGUAUUCGUUAGCAAGUAGUUCGACUAUUAAACAAAAUCUCAAUAUUAAAAUUCAUAGAUCAUCAAUUUAACAUAAUCAUUCACACACUUCCACAAUAUUCAUUGUUAGCAUACCUUUUUCUUUUCUUUUGUUUUUAAAUGCUCCCCACAUUUGAGUCUUUUUUUCAAAUUUAAAAUAUUUACCAGUGAGACACGUUUAGAUCUUACCACAUCAUACUUAACAUAUUAGCACAUAAAAAUUUAACAAUAGUCAAAUUUGAGAAUCUAACUCUCAUUUGUCAAGAAUAAUCACAAAAAUACACAAGAAGUGGUAAAAAUUGAAUAAAAUUUAAAAUAUUAAAUAAAAAAUUUCAACAAAAAUGCCUACACUUACACUUUUUUUAAUAUACUAUCCUCCACAUCUAAAUCUUACUUUGUUCUCAAUAUAAGAAAUAAAGAACAAAAUAAAAAAGGGGGACAACGAAACUUUUCUGAACAUGGAGGAGGAUAUCGCACUGCUAAGAAUGCGGAGCACAAGUGGGGGUGAAACCAAUAGAAUAAAAGUAGUCACCAAAUUCUUAAAUCAUUUUAGACGCGAACAUACCUAAAACAUCACACGAGAUCCUUUUCUAGUGACAAUUCAGUGCCACUUCUAUAUUUAUGCCAAGUGUCCUAUUUAUUUAAUUUGUCAUGUGUUGUUUAUUUAAAUUUCUUCUAUCAUCACAUAUUUAAAUUUCUUCUACCAUCACGUGAUAAGUGGGAUUGACACUGGAUUUAGCACCGAAUAGUGGCAUAGAGGAUCCGAAUUGCUAAAACAUAUGGAGUCUUCUAGUCAAAAAUUUUUAACUCGCCAAUUUCAGCGCGACUCAUAGAAGUAAGCAUGCCUUAUCAAUUAGCAGUCUUAUGAAAUUUUUAAACAUGUCAUAAAAACUUGUCAGCUACUUAAAUUAAAAUUUGAUAGGCGUUAUAAAAACAAUGCCAAAAUUUGAUGGGUGUCAAACCAUUAAAAUUAAAAUUUCUAUUCUAAAAACUUAAAUUCAAGUAAAGUGGUGAGUAGUGUUAUCUUCUCAAGAACUAGGUGAUUUAUUUCUUUUCAAACAAGAAAUAAAUAGGAAUUUUGAAAAAUUAAAAUAAAAAAAUCAACUUAACUAAAAGCAAUCAAAUGAAAAAAAAAUUAAUUAAUUCAAUAAUAAUCAAACUCUAGCCAAAGAAAAAACUCUGGAAGUGGUUCAUACAACUGCUCAUUAAUACAAUAAUAAUCUUAUUUAUUUGUUAUUAUAUAGGUUAUUAACUACCAAAUAUGCGAUGACAAUCACUUUUCCUUAUCGCAUUGAUAGUUAAGGUAUGCUUAUAGAAUUUAAUUUUUUGAUUGUAUUAAAAAUUAGAAAAAUUCUGUUCUAAUCAAUAAACACACUAUCAAGAUUUAUUUAAAUUAGAUCAUUUGUCUCCUUAACAUGAAAUCAAUUGUGCUCGUCACUGCUAAUUUAAAACAAUUAAAUAAGUACAGAUUUAACUGUUUUAACUGGCAUUAGAUUGUUAGAUUGAAUUAAAUAUUGAACGCCCAUGAUAUUCAAAUAAUAAAACAAUCAUAAGAAAUUAAACCAAUAAACAUACAAAUACUAACAAAUAAAAGAAAUUAAUAAAAAUAAUUAGAUCUCACAGUUGUACCUAAAUCAAAUUCUUCGUUAUUCCUUGACUAGAAAAGAAAAUUUAGUUACUGUCCGUUGAGAGCAAACAAAAAAUUUUCACUGAUUAAGAUAACCUCCACAUUCAACAAUAGGCAAACAAAAGAAGAAAACAAGUGAAGAGACGGCCACCUCCCGUUUUCUUCUCCUAGUGUCGAGACUAGUAGUUAGCCAAAAACUCCUAGACAAAACAAAGUUGUUGCCUUUCUGAAGCAGUAAUAGUCAGCCGCGUCUCCCUCCUAUUCGGAAGUAAAAUAUACUUCCUAAUUUCCCUCGGAAAAAGAUAUCCCCAAAUUGACAAAACAUAAUUUAAAUCGUUUCUCAAUUCAAUUUGGAAACAAGUUUCGUAGGUCUUCAAAUUGAACUGGAAAACCGCCACGCACAUGGAUCUCGACUUUUUCAACUUGCAGACGCGACCACACGAACGGGCUAAUACCACCUCUAAACUCCUUUGUUUUUCCUUUCAAAUUCAUCCCAGAAAGGUAUCAUAUUUGAAAAACCAGCUGAACUUUAUGAGAAAAGUUGAAGAGGAAAAAAUUUCUAUGUUGAUUAUUUAACGUGAAAGAGUAAAUGCCCAUAUUUAUAGGUAUUUAGGUACAAGGAAUUUAAACAGUACAAUGAAUUAGAUAAUGUAAUGAACUAAAUACUACAUCACAGGAACUAAUAGAGGUAUAGUACAUCUAGGCAAUCCAAUGAAUUUAGACACUACAAUAUAGAAGAUUAGCUAAUUGAGAUACAAAUAAAACUUGGGCAAUUCAAAGAAUUUAGAAACUAUUAACUAGGUACUAAUCAAGAAGAAAAGUCAAUAAAUGGAAAUCGAGAGAGUUCGAAAACUUGGUCCAAACGUGGGCGAGCACGCAAGGCCUUUACAAAUUACAAAACAAACAAUUUAGAAGUCCAGCUUUCAAGAUGGUACUUGAGCUGCACCGUAUCAUGCCAAUGGUCUAAUUCAUGUAUAAUGUAAGCAACUGACGUUAAUAUCCCCAAAAGGAAUGAACCAAAGCAACAAAAUUGCGAAGCAGAAGUUGAAUUGAGUUGGAGUUCUUGGUAGGGUGUUCUUUUACGAUAACAAGGAACAUGGACAUGUCUGAAAACGCAGUUAAGAGGGAGGUGAUAUUUUCUCACAGCGUAGUUUGGCUUUCCAAGAUACAGAUUUUGACGGUUUGUAAUUGUUGUUGGACAAACACGUAGUUAAUACAUGCAUGCGGUUGAUAAGGACUGCUCCUACAUCUAUGGAACUUCUAUCGGCCGGGGAAAUUAAAUCGUUGUGGACGGCAAAUCUGCACGUCAGGAUAUAACGCUUUACCCUUGCCCUGAGCGCGACUGAAGUUACAUAUAUGGUAAAAAGAUGGUCCUAUAAAAGCAAGAGGGGUGGCGUGGGACAAAUGUUAAUUAAGCAUAGAAAGUUCAUCCAUUUCAAGUGCUUAUUCUAGUGUGGUACGUGUAGCAGUACUAUUAGUAUGCGUAACACUGACGGACUAAGAAAAGGUGCAUGGACUGAAGAAGAAGACAUCCUUUUAAGAAAGUGCAUGGAGAAGUAUGGUGAAGGAAAGUGGCAUCAAGUUCCAGUUCGGGCAGGUAAUUCAACACUCCCUACAACCAAUUGUAGUAUUCGAAUCUAUCUGUUUCCAUCUCUGCUGCAUUGGAGGUACAGAGGCGGAUAUACACAUGCAUCCUCAGGGAUACAGUAAAACCUAUUUACUAGGGCGAUGGAGUAAAGUAUGGUGAGAAUCGAACUCGUGAAAUUUAUCGUUUUGUUUCGACAGGGUUAAAUAGGUGCCGCAAAAGUUGUAGACUACGGUGGCUCAACUAUCUCAGGCCAGAUAUAAAGCGAGGAGACUUCGCUUCUGAUGAAGUCGAUCUUCUCAUCAGGCUUCAAAAGCUGUUGGGCAACAGGCCAGUUCUUUUUUCUUUUUCUUUUUUUUUUUUGGUAUUUUAAGCAGUAGUGUAUCACUUUUUUUUUCCCCCUUUUCUAUAAUUAGAAUAAUGAAGUUGAAGGAUUCGCUCGUCCCAGAAAGCUAUACAAAUAUUCAAAAGAAUUGCCAUACGUACCUAGUGUUUUGAUAUACUCCAUGAUUUUAUGAAACAAGUAGACUUGGCAUGCAAAUUUUGGUCAACACGGUACGUUGGUUAGAACAGAAGCACUUUUUUUUUUUUUUUUUGAUAGAGUAUUAUUUGAAAAAAUUAUUGUAAUAUUUUUGUGAGGUAAAAUAUGUGAAAUAAAAAAUGAUUAGAAUUAUAAAAAGAUGAAUUCGAAAAUAUAUUUAUGAUGCAACAAGGUAUGUUAGUUACAACUGAAGCAUUAUUAUUUAUUAAAUUUUUAAAAUGAUAUAUUCUUGACUAGUCAACCUUGAACAGUAUAAAAUUUUCCACUCAACUCGCAAACGUAUAUAUUUCCGGUCAUUUCGUAUGUUUUUACCGUCAAAUAUCUACUACAUCUAAAGACUUGUAUCAAUCAGCAAACAUAAUUGAGAGGUAUUUGACAGUGAAAAUGAAUAGAAUAACCUAAUAUACAUACACGUUUGAGAGUUGAAUGGAUAACUUCUAGCCUUAAAAUAGUUGAGUAAAUAAAACUAUACGGUUUCAAAAGUACAGUGGAUAACUGGUAAUGUGCUCUAAUUUCUAUGUGUGUUUAUUGAGUAACUCUUGUUUAAGGGAAACGACGAUCAGUGCUUUUUGAUCGUUGCAUCGAGUAGUUGUUUUCAAGUAUUGAUCUUUUAAGUAACUAGGCACCUCAGUUCGCUAAUUGCAAGAAUGAUUUGAGGUUAGAAGAAUUAAUAGCAGCAAUUACCUUUAUCACGACAUCGACUUUGCUUUGACUUUUAUCGGCCGUAUGCUUCUUAUAAUUUCUAUAGAUGGUCACUAAUUGCCGGUAGACUUCCUGGAAGAACUGCAAAUGAUGUGAAAAAUUACUGGAACACCCAUUUAAUAAAGAAGAAGAUGGCUUUCAGAAGACAACCAGAUGAAAAGGGCCAGGCCGGUAACACAAACUACACCACAAAACCUAGGGCAAGCAACAUAGUGAAGCCUCGUCCUUGGACCUUCUCCAAAAAUGCAUCUGGGUUGAGGGGAAAAGCAACAACAACAACGACAGCAACAAGUACAGAAAUUCCUACUAUUCGGACAACAACGAAUGCUCAG
rnacentral:lncRNA from 1 species